rnacentral:lncRNA from 1 species
UUUUUUUUUUUUUGAAUAAGCAGAAGCAAAGAAACUGGAGCUUACGAUUUAGGCGAAUUAGAUCAAGCCCUUUUUCUCUACCUUGAUGGACAAGACCCUUCCACUAUUCAAGACCAAAGACGUGAGUGUUUUUAUUUCCUGCAUCUCCUGUCUUGUUUUUUGUUUGGUCACAAGAAAAACAUGUUCAUGUUUUCAAACAGAUUAAAUUUCCCAGAACUUUCUUUGACCAGAUCCUUACAGAAACAAAACCCAAAAACUAAAGAAAGAAUUCAAAGAAAAAUAAUUUCUUUUUAUUUAUUAUAGCUUUGGACCAUGACUUGUAACAAACACCUCUUUAUGAUCAUGAAUUCCUUGAAAAAAAAAAAGAAUCUCUUUACAUGUACUGCCAAGUGUACGUUUAAGGGGUAUGGGUUUUGUUUGCCUUUCCCCCCCUCUUUUCGAUGGAACAAAGCUACAAAUGGAUGAUGCAUGACGAUCCCUAUGUGUUUUUUUUUCUUACAUCUCUUGUCUUUGUCUCCCUUCCUUUUCUUUUGGGUCUUUUUUGAAUAAUCAGUUUCUUUUAUAAAUGCAGAUCAUAGCUCUGGAAUAAAGCCUCCUACUCUCAACAUUUUCCCUUCACAGCCUAUGCACGUUGAACCACCAUCAUCAACAAAAGUAAAUAAAACUUUAUAUAUAUUGAUCUACAGCUUUUAUGGUAAGUAGAAAUUAUAUAUAUUUAAUUUUCAAAGUGGGUUUGUUUUUGUAUUUGGUAUAGACAAGUAGAGGAUUAGUUUCUCCAUCAACUAGUGGUUCAAAAAGACCAUCAGAGCCGUCCAUGGAGUUGGCCAACCCCAGAACUGAUAAUAUUGCUUCAGCUUCUGCUCCAAAUCAGCCACCUAAAGCUGUCAAGGUAUGAUUGGCUCCCUUGCAUCAUCUUAUUGAAAAAGAAAACUGAGAUUCCCAUGUUUUUUAUUAUUAUUUUGUUUGGAAUCUAUUGUAACACUGCAUGUCUUAAUUUAGCAGCGUGAGGGGAAUCGAAAAGGACCAACAACUUCAAGUUCAGAACAGGAAGGACCCAAAACACCAGACCCUAAGGUGAGACACUUUGACUCUCUUUUUAUAGACAUUCAAUUAUAUUGAACCACCAUAUUGUAAUUUUUUUUGGAGCAGACACUGAGAAGACUUGCUCAGAAUAGAGAGGCAGCAAGGAAAAGCAGACUGAGAAAAAAGGUCAGCUUGUAAAAUGAAUUAAUUACUACCUACUGGUACUGCUUUCUUUGCUACUAAUUUUCUUGGGUUUUUAAACACAGGCUUAUGUUCAGCAAUUAGAGUCAAGUAGGAUUAGGCUUACCCAACUGGAGCAAGAACUUCAAAGAGCCAGGGCUCAAGUGAGAGCAUUAAACCACCCAUAGUUCAUUUUAUAUCAUCUGUUUUAUAAUAUAAUUGAAAUCUUUUCUUUUAGGGCAUGUUUUUUGGUGGUGGUAAUAUGUUGGGAGGAGAACAAGGGCUUCCUGUUGGAAUUAACAACAUAAGCUCAGGUUGUGUACUACUAUAAAUGAUCUCUCUCUCUCUCUCUCUCUUUCGUAUAUAUUAUAAAGUGAAAUAUGUUUUAUUAUGGUGCAGAGGCUGCAGUGUUUGACAUGGAGUAUGGAAGAUGGGUAGAAGAACACCAUCGACUGAUGUGUGAGCUACGAGCAGCGGUACAAGAGCACUUACCGGAGAACGAGCUCCGGAUGUACGUGGACAACUGCUUAGCACAUUUCGACGAGGUGAUGAACCUAAAAGGCAUGGCGGCCAAAACCGAUGUGUUUCACCUUGUGUCUGGCAUGUGGAAAACUCCCGCCGAACGCUGCUUCAUGUGGAUUGCUGGAUUUCGUCCCUCUCACCUCAUCAAGGUACUGUAAUCUAACCCAAACUACCACACACAUGUUUAAAAAAUCUUUAAAACUAAUUGCAUUAGGAUCCUAAUUUUACAGUAUUCUUUCUUAUACAAUUUUUUUAUUCCUUGUCUUCUAUAAUAUAUCUGAGUUAAUUUGCACAAAAUUUAAGAAAUAUACUUUUUUAAAAGAAGGCAUGAAAUUGAAUGACGAAAGGUAUGGAAAAGUUAUUUCUGUAAAAGGAUUAGGCUAGUUGUUUAAAUUAUAAAGCCAUGUCUGUUAACUACAAAUUGAGGCAGUAGAAAAGAGAGAACUUCACGUUUCUCUUCUCUUCUCUUCUCGACUCUCCACUGAUCUCUUUUGUCUUCUCCUUCACGGAAAUCAAGGCUUGUUUUCAUCUUCCCAUCUUUGUUUCCUGUUCAUAAAUAUCCAAGCAAAAUGGCCAAAAGUAGUUCAGUUUCAGACUUUCAGUUCACACUUCACAUUUCACAACAAACAUAUAUACAUAACACGAAGCAAGCAAGACAAAGAUAAUGUUUUUGUAUUUCAGGUUAUAUUGAAUCAGAUAGAGCCAUUGACGGAACAACAGAUAAUGGGCAUAUGUGCAUUGCAGCAAUCCACACAAGAAGCUGAGGAAGCACUAUCACAAGGCUUGGAAGCUUUGAAUCAGUCUCUGUCUGAUAUCAUAAUCUCUGAUUCACUUAGCUGCCCGUCUAAUAUGAGUAACUACAUGGGCCAAAUGGCUAUCGCCAUCAACAAGCUCUCCACCCUUGAAGGUUUCGUUAGACAGGUAUGUAUGUGCAUGCCAACUUUCAUCAUUUUUUACCUGCCCUUGCUUUGCAUUUACUAGCUAGUUAGCUCUCAUAUUAUUAUUAUUAUUAUUUGAUUGGUGGGCUUGUGGGCCCCACGCCCCAUUUAUGAUGAUGAUGAUCUCACCAACAUGGGUUCAUACUUCAUACCUAUUCAUAUAUACUUAUGUGGGAUCCAAAAGAAUUUGGCCGGAAAUCAAACCUAACCUCGAACCUAGAAGUCAUGCACAUAUUAUCAACCAACCCCACAUACAAAUAUAUAUAUAUAUAUACUAGAUUAUGACUAAAAACAAAGUUAUAUAAUAUAUAAAUAAUUAUUAUAAUAUAUAAAUUUUUAGGAGGCGGUUGCUUUUUACUCUCUUUACUAAAAAAAAGGGGAUAAAAUAAUCAUUGUAAGUUAAAUUAAAUAGCAAAUUGAUCAUUCUGUUAAAAUUUUUAUCCAUUUCUACUCUUAAAAAUUUAUCAAUAUGUCAACAUGAGGUACCCAUGGAACACCACCUGUCAUUAUCUGGUUAUUCCGUUAGCCACACUAGUUUUUAACAGUAUAAAUGGAUGAAAUUCUUAACAGAGAUAACCAAUUUGUUCUUUGAUCUAAGGUACGAAGAUUAAUUUACCCACUUUUUUAAUAGAAGGGAUAAAAUGCAACCUGACUCCUAGUACAGAGACCUCUAUGAUAUUUUUACCAGAGUAAAGCAAAAAUAUUAAAAAUCAUAAUGUCUUAAAUAAAAAUCCCAUUAUGUAUACACAAUUCUCUAUUUCUAUAUAAAAAUAUAAAAAGAUAAAAAUAUUCUCGAAAGAAUAUAAUUCGUUCAGUAAAACAAUGAUAUUUUAGUUAUUAUUCAACCGAGUUAAUAUCUUAUUACUAUAUAGCAUAUAUAUCUGCCAUCUCAAAAAAUAGUAAGGACAUUUCAUAGGAAAGUGACAUAUGUAUGGAGAAGUGUUUUAGGUUUGUGGGUAAAAUUAAAAUGUUGCCCAUGCCAUCUGAGGAUCAUCUAAAAAUGACCAGGUUCAGCUUGUGUAGAUUUAGGUAAAUUUUCCCAAUAUAACAUGGCUUAUCAGUUUAGAGUAAAAGAAGAAAACAAAAGUUAAUUUUAUGGUUAAAAUUUAGCCAGUUUCUUACUACUACCAAUAUUAGAUGCCUGAAAUGUAUGAGAAUAUCUGUCCAUUGAAGAAUCAAACUCUACUUGUAGUUGUAGGAGUUAUGAACUUCGUCCUUUCCUCCAUUCCCCCAAUGCUUAGCACUCUGGGUUUUCUUUUCUAUUGAAAAACGAGAUUAGCACAAUGCCAUAUACCUUAGCAACCUCUCAAAAAUUUGAUAAUGUAAUUCAAGUGAUUCCAAUUCAAUUAAAGAAAUUACAUAAAAUUAAAUCGUGAAAUCACAUAAAAUUAUAUAUAUUUUUUAUUAAUUCACCCGUAUUAUUUGAUUUUACACUCCAACACCUACAAUUAUCUCUCUUUUUUUUUUGUUGAUUUUACGAGAUGCGUAAAAAGUGAAAUAAUUAAGGAUUGAAUUCAAAUUCUUAUAUCACACGAUACGAUAAUCUUGUAAUUAGUUGAAAGUGUUUGCUAGUUGUAACAUGAAUAUGAACAAGAAACAAGUUCAAGAAUAUUUGCAUUUUCAGUACUUUCACAUGCUAAUGGGUCCACUCCCUUUAAUAAUGCAUAUGGAGGUCCAAAGAUAUGCUUGAUGUCCAUAUGUUUGUGAUGUCAUGGUCGUAACUGAUUGACUUGAAAAGAUAAAUCUCCUCCAAACUAGCUUUUCUCCAUCAUUGUUACUUUAAUUCAUACCCAAAGUUAUAAGUAAGUCAUUGUACGAAAUAAUUAAGGUUGAACCCGGAAAUUCUCUGUUGAAACCUUGUAGAUCAAGCUAAGUAAAUCCAUAAACCAAGAAAUUGAAAUGGAACAACUAUCCUUGCAUAAUUUUCAACCUUCUUUUUUUUUUUCCAUUUGACAAUCAAGUAUGGUGCCACAAAGUCAUGGGUUGAUUAGCAAAUUAUUAACUUGCCCUUAAUCAUGUUUUCUUUCUCUCUCUUUUUUCUAAAAAAAUUAAAUUGCUUAUAACACAAAGAUUUACAUAUGUUCCAUGUAUCAUUGGUCUUGUUUUUAUUCUAUAUUUGAUAUAAAUAUAUAUAUAGGCAGAUAAUCUGAGGCACCAAGCCAUUCAUCGACUGCAUCAGAUAUUGACGAUCCGCCAAGCAGCAAGGUGUUUGUUGGCGAUAGCUGAGUACUUCCAUCGCCUAAGAGCUCUUAGCUCUCUGUGGUUGGCUCGACCUCGGCAGGAACAAUAGAAACCCUAGCUAGCUAGGCCUUUUUUAAGUUGACUUUGAUUAUUAAUGUCUUCUUUGAUAUUUUCAUCAAGAUUUCUACAUAUAUAGAUAGAAUAGAUUUGAAAAAGUUCAUAAUUAAAAGUGGGUAUAAGUUUCUCUCUCUCUAUACAUAUUUUUCUUCUUUGGCCAAAGGAAUAUGGAUUUGAUUUUGCAGAUAUUUCUGACUGAUUAAAAAGAGAAUGUUGAGAAUAAGAAAGAAUAGAGAAGAGGGGUUUGAACUUCUUUUACUAUUAUCUAUUUUCAAAAGAGGACAAAAUUUGAUUUAGUCUUAGAAGAAAAAAGGAUGCAAGUGUUGAAUGUAUAUCUGGGUUUUCUCUGGUUAUAGGUUAGAAUAUAGGAUUAAAUGAUUAAAUCAUUGGCUCAUCUUAAUCCUUAAAAGAUAAGACAAAGUGGAUGGAAAUGUUUGGAUUCAAAAUUGAUAUAACUUUUAAGUGAACUGCUAUUGAAAUAAUUAGGAGUAUGUGAAUUCAAACGUAUUUAAAUGUGUUAUUUUUAUUAAAGGGUUAGGAAGGAUUAUUUUAUGAAUUAACUUAAUAAAAAAUAUAUAUUAUUCAUGGCGUGUUGGUAACUUUUGAGUAAGGUCGAGUCUGUGUUUGCUUCAAUCUUUUUUUAAUUGUUUGUGAUAAUUCGCUUUAGUUUUUUUUUUGUUAUUUUUUCAUACUAAUUUUGAGCUUUUAUAUAUUGAAAAACUGACUUUAUUUUAUGGCUUUUGGAUAUUAUUGAAUAAAGUUAAAAAAUCAUAAUUUUUUUAAUUUUUCAAGUAAAUAAAAAAUAAUCAAUAAUUUAUAUAUAAUAUUAUUUCAAAAACAAUUUUUAUAUAGCAUUUUAAAAUUAUUUUUACUAUAUUUAAUAUAAACAUUCUCUUUUACAUCAUAAAGAUUAAAAUUAAUUAUAAAUUAAAUAACACAUAAAAUUCAAUUCAAUUCAAUAACUAUGAUUGUUUUUAACAAAAAACUUUCCAAACACUAUCAACUCGGAUCGGGUUUCGAUUUUCCCCUUUUCUCCCCCCAAAACCUUACUUUUGAGGUAAUAAAAUAAAGCAUAAUACGAAGUUGAUAAUGUAACACCCCAUACCCUGUCCAAUCGUCGGACCAGAGCUACAGGAUACUACAACAGUAAAUCAGAACAUUCAUAUGCAAUUUACUCAUUAAUAAUCAUUAAAUCAAUGUAUAAAUGUUAAGUCUAUCGUUAACAUGCGUUACAAGCAAAAUUGUUCUUAAUCGAGCUUACGAAAGCCCUUAAAUCAGCUCGGAACCAAAUCAAAACCAUUUUGAAACAUUUACAAAAAAAGAUAGAUAAAAAUGUAAAACAAUGGUCACACGGCCGUGUGAUAGGCUGAGGCCAUGUGGUGCAAUAUCACACUCGUGUCCCCAAACCAUGUAACAGACUGUUGUCGUAUAAUCCAGGGUCACACAGCCGUGUAAAUCACUGAGGCCGUGUGAACUAAAAAACACCCUGAACGUGUUGAAUACACGACCAUGUCAACUAACCAUGUGUGACACAUGACCGUGUGGUAGCCUGCAUACAGCAAAAAUAGCACUUUUAAACAAGUUUCAUACCAUUCAAGCAAAAUGACCUAAAAUGCUAAUUUAUGCCAUUCAGUCUAACGCCAAAGCAUACAUAUUUCAUAGCCAAAACACUAAUUCAAAUAAUCAUUUAAACUAUGCUCAUUGACACCAACAAUUCAAUAAACUCAAAUCAAAUACAAUUCAUACCAAAGCUUUUAACCAUUUCAUAUCACAACCUAUUUCAUAUGCAUAAUACCAUUCAAACUUUGUCGUUAUCCUUAACCUUCUAAUUGUCAAUUUGGCACCAACCACAUAUGUAACAUCCCAAAAAUCGGAUUGAAAGAAAUUCAGUUAGUGAAAUCGAGAGUGGUUAUGUCUUAAAUUUGAGUUAAGGUUGUGAUAUUAUGACUAAUGAAUUGUUUUGGUUUAGUGGUUAAGUGUUUUGAUUAUGUGUGCGAGGAUCUGGAUUCGAAUCCUGUUUCUUGAAAUUUUGCUAUUUUACCUAAACCCCUACCUUUGAACAAUUGGUUUACAAGUUAAUUGUGUUCAACUGAUGUCAAGAAUGAGUCUGUUGGUUUAAUGGUUAAGCUUUUGAAUACUCUCUGAUUCUGUGUUUGAAACUUUGUGAAAGUAAUGAGAAAAAUGUUUUUUUUUUCAUUAUGCUACUUUGUGAAAUUGUUUUGUUUUGUUUUAAAAUAACUAAAUUCUGUUUUUUUUUCAAAAACUUCUUUGUUCACGUUUGUUUUUCUUCCCCUUCUUCAUUUUCUUUUUAUUUUUUUCUAACAACUCCGCUAUAGGUUUUGUUGAGGAGAUUGUGUGUUCUUGGUUCGAUUUAAAGGUUAGCAGGGUAAGUCUUUGCCUUUGAAUUUUUAGUAAUGUUCGCUUUCGCUAGUUUUUGUCAAGAUUGAGAUUUUCUGCUCGUUUCGCUCUAUCCUUCUUGUUGAGUGUUCAAUUGAUUCUUUUCCUAGGCGAAGGGUUUAUGAAGCAAGUUCUCCGACGAUCUAAGUUUAGGUGUUACUGUCUUACGAGCGAGGGUAAGAAAAAGUUUCGAUUUGAGGAUUUUGUGUUGCAUGUAUUUCGACGUAAUUUUGGUUUAGAUGUUAGUUUUUAAAGUUCUGAUUGCGAAUUAAUUGUUUGAUUGAGGUGUGAUUGUCGUUUUAAGGUCGGGAAUUCAUCCUUGUUGCUUAUGCAUUGAAUCCGUAUCAAGUGUGUAACGAAAACCCAAAAAAUUAUGAUCAAAGAGUCUAGAAAAUAUGUUUGUCGAUGCUACACAGUUGUGUGGUAGGUCGUGUAACUCACUAUUUUAGAAUGAUAGGCACACGGGCUGGAGACACGACGCGUGUCUAGGUCGUGUACCUCACUGUUUUGGAAUUAGAGACACAUAGGCGAGGGACACGGGCGGGUGUCAAGCCGUGUGAAGUGCUAAUAUGAGUUACAUGGCCGUGUGGCCCUAUGUGCCAAGUCGUGCAGGCCACACGGGCCAAACAUGUAGGCUGUGUGGGCCAAACUUCCAAAAUUUUUCCUAAGGCUGUAAACAUCAUUUGGAUCAAACAUAGGCCUCCCGUAAGGUCCGUAUGAUCUAGAUUAAGCUAUAAAACCCAAUAUUUAUUGAUCUAUUAGUGUAUAAUUCGUUAUCUGUACGUAUGUUUGAUAUGAUAUAAGCUAAGUAAGUAUGAUAUGUUAGCGUAUAAUGUGCUUUUGUUUUAGAUGUGUUUAAGGUAUGUGAUUUAUUCAAGUAUGAUCCGUGUUUUGUUAAUUUGAUGGUACAUUUAUGUGUUACUUAUUGGAUGAGAACCUGCUAUAUCUGAAUAUGUUGAUUUAUUUGAUACUGAUUUUGAUAUAUAACCAUGCAUGUGACUUCAUAAAAAAUCUGAUAUGAUACAUUAAGAUAUGUUACAUCUGUUCUGCAAAGUGUGGAUUCCCAUGCCUUUUGUUUCAGUUGUUUUAUGACAACAUGUUCUACAUGCUCAUCAUUCUGGUUUUGUAUAUGCAUGCCAUGAGACAUUGCAUGUGGUUUAGGAUGAUGUGAAAGGAGGAAGUUUUUGACAAUUUAAUAAUCUACAAUGUCUGGUGGGUUAUCCACAAUUCUGUCUGGUAGCUUAUCUGCAAUCAUAGUGGCUUGACCACAUAUAUCCGAUCUAGCAAUUUUAACUACAAUUCUGGUGGCACUAUCCACAAUUAUUUGUUUGUGUGAUUUGGUUGGAUGAGUUUUGGGGAACUCUAUUGGCAUGUUUUGAGGAGUUAGGUAGGAUGUUUUCUGAAAAUUUUGCAUUUUAAUUUUCUGAAAAAUACCGCAUUGGCAUAGUCAUGCAUUCUCUAUUCUGAUUAUAUGAUCAUUACAAAAUUCUCUACAUUACUCUGUUUUGUUUAUUGUAUUUAGUAUGAUCUUUGUUUGAGUUAGUUAUAUACUGAGCUUUAUAGCUCACCCUUUUGUUUAUCUUUGACUGUUCAAGUAACCUUCUGACUUAGGACUGGAUGGUGUGUGAAAGCUCGGAUUGUUUUCGCAUUUAAUGUAAAUAUGGUUAUGUUUCGUAAUUAUUUGUUUUGGACUUUUGGGUUGUAAUUUGUUUCUGAACUUGUUUUGGGCUUCGUUAAAUUCGUCGGUAAUUAAUGUUUUCAAAUGUGAAACUGUUAAAUCACGUAAGUCGACAAAAUAGAUUUCAGUUUUCAGAACUAAAACUCUGAAAGAGAUUUUACGCUGCAAAUUAAGUAAUUUCUUAAGCGUUUCCUGUAAAUGAACAAAUAGUUUUUCUAAUCAUUGUUUCACAUACGUGUAUUUGGAAAAUACUUACUGAAAGCAAUUUUCCAAACGAGUCGAUGUAAUUUCUCUAGAUUCGCUCAUAACUUUUCGAUCGAUUUUGGGGUGUUAUAACAUAACACAAAUUGAGUUACAUAUAUAAGUUUGUAUACAAAUCUAGUGUGCCAAAACAUAUUCACAACUUGCAAAGCUUAAUCGUCCUAUGUACAUGCCACAAGUAACCAACUUCAAAACAUCAAAAGUCUACCGAAUCGAGAGAUGAUAGGUAUGAGUUUCUCGCUGAUCCAAUUAACAUGUUCUGGACGUCCAAAACCUACAGAAAAGUAGUAACACGAGUAAGUAUUUAAAAUACUUAGUAAGCUCAUACAAUGUAAACAUUUACUUACCUAAAUUUCUUAUCACAUACAAAAUCAUUAUGUAAUACAAUUAUACCUAUCAAGAAUUCAAACAACAUCAUUAACAUAUAAGGAUUUGAGCUCAAACAUAUAUAUAACCUCAUUUAUUCACAUUUUCAUUUCAAACCAAAUUAUAUAUUAUAUCCAAAUCAUAAAUACUACUUUGCCAACAUCCAAUGGCAUAUCAUCACAUUUUCAUUCACAAUAUUACUCAAUGAAACUUCGUAAAAGAACUCUAUACACAGGUGAAAGUAAUAGUGCCUAAGUACCCAUUUGGGUUAAACCUACACGAGUAAUGAAUCAUAGUGCCUGGUCACCCAUUAGGGUUGAACCUGCACGAAUUAGAUAAUAGUGCCUGGUCACCCAUUAAGGUUGAACCUACACAACAAAUAGCCUGGCCAAGGGUUAAUAUACCUGUUUUCUCGAGUCCACAACACAUGCUAGAGCUCAGAACCUGCGAGGAAUAACUCGUAACCUCGUAUACGAGACUUUUACUAAUUUUAUUGGGAUUUAUCUCAUAUUGCACCGCCAUUCAUAAUCACCAACUAUCACCAUUACCAAAUGAAAUAUAACAUAUUAACAUUAGUAAUUUAAUUAUAUUGUAUGAACUUACCUGACAAAAUCAUAGUGGUUUAGCUAGUAGGGACUAGUUUGUAAUUUUUCUUUUUCCUCGUACAUCCUCUAGUUGUUGUAAUUCUUGAUCUAAAGCAUAAUUUGACUCAAUUAACCUUUAACAGUACAAAGAAGUCAUAUGAUAUUAAAUAGAAAUUAGAGAUUAAAUUUUACGUCUUUUACGAUUUAGUCUUUUUCUUAAUUAACUAGCCAAAUGUCAAAAUUACCGGACCAAAUCUUAAUACAACACUUAAAUAACUUCGUAAAUAUUAAAUAAAUAAUGUUUACGGACUCACACAUUGAAUUUUUGGUCUUGAAACCACUGUUUUCGACACCACUAAAAACAGGUUGUUAUAAACAAACUUAUUUUUAGUUUUGGCUUUGUUUGGGUUUUGUCCUUUGUUUUUUUUUUAUGUUUUAUGUUUGGGGUUCAUAGGUGUCUCUCCUAACAUUAUCAUCUUCAAAAUUCGAGCAUGUAUUCCCUCAUUAGGAAUACAAUUUGUCUUACUAUCACAUGCAACAUUUCUAUAUAAAUUUUGCCAUUCGUGAGGGAGGACUUCAGUCAUUUAAAGGUUAACUUGUCAAAGAUAUUUAUUAAUUGACUUCCAUUAAAUAAUAAUCUCUCCCGACCUUGUUUAGUCAAAUAAUAAAGGGUAAACUACUCUAGAUGCUACUGAAAUUUGAUUAAUUUUUACUUUUUGUCACUGAACUUUUAAAACUUACAAAGAUGUCGCUAAUGUUAAAAAUUUUUUAAAAAUACCACCGAUUGAUUCCACCAUCACCGAUGGCUUCCUUGGACACUGAACCUGUUGAUGGAUCUCCCAAGGUUGUCUCUUAUUCCGAUAAACCCAGCCCUAAACCUUAAUCCCACCUUUAGAAAAUCAUUCAAAGCUAAGUCAUGACAAAGAAUAGUACAUGGAAUAAAAAAGAAGAAGUUAAAAUUUAAAACACAUGCAUGUAUUACCUGGGAAAUGCAUCCACCAAGUCCCAUGCCUUCAAAGAACUGAUGAAAGGUGAGUGCAGCCACCAAAGGUUUUAUAGCCUUUGGACUUUCAGAAGCACCCAAUGGUAUCCCUAUAAUCAUAGAGUGUGCCAUUCCAAUACCUUAAAAAAAUCACAUAUAUUGAUUUUCAUAUUACAGUUUCAAACUCAUAUUACAAUUGAGUCAGUUACAGAAAAGAUUGAAAACAACAAAAACAACCAAAAUCACAAAAUAUAUAUUUUCAUAAAAUAACAAUAUAUAUGAUUCAUAAAACAUAUUUGGAGUCUAUGAAGUUGAGCUGAAUCCGAACGCUCAAGCAUAGAAACCGAAUCAUGACCAUGGGUUUUCCCUAUUUUCUCUUCAUCAACAUAGUUGCUCUCAUGGGUUUUGUGAAGGUGAGACUUGGUGCAAUGAGAUGUAGCAAACACACCAACCAUCAAUCUACCAAUCUUAGCAGCCAUAGCCAACAGUUUGGCUAAUUGAAACUUAUCCCAAGGAUUUUCACUAAGGCAAGGAGAUGUUAAGUUUUCAUUGGCGUCAGAAAGAACAUGGAUGAAGCCAAUGGACAACAUCACACCAGCAACAAAGGCUUUGAUGAUGAAAAAUAGGGGUUUUUUGAGGAAAGCCUUGAGGUCCACAGGCGGGUUAUACGCAUUAUAUGUUAGUCCAAACUAACAAAAGAACAAAUGAUGAGUUUAGAUUGGUCUUUACUUUGUCUAGUGGCUAAGUUUUAGAGCUAACAAUUUUCUUUGAGUUAAUUAUAGUUUUGGUAUCCCAACUUUGACUAAAUGUAUAAAUUGAUUCCAAAAUUUCAAUUCCUGUACACCAUCAUCUAUUUCCUCAAGGUGUAGGGUCUAUAUUCAAGAGAGCUUGUGGGCUGUUUUCUAAUAUCAUCAUGCAUUCAUUUCUCACAAAACGGAGCUAGGGAGGAAGAGAUUUUGUGUUGUUAGAUGGAUGCUAAAUUUUAGGUUUGUUUUAUAGGUUGAGAUGAAAUUUGAGUCUAAAAUUUUGCACAAGUCCAACCCUAAUAAAAAAAAAAUCCUAAACCGAGUUCAAUUUAGUCCGUCCGUAUUAAUUUUUUUAUAUUAUUAUUUUUAUAUAAAAGUAUAUUUAAAAAAUAUAAUACAUCAAAUACACUAAAAAUAUUUAAAAAAUAUCUUCCUACAAAUUGAAAAUACAUUAAAAAAGUCUUUAUACUUAAAUAACACUAAGAUAGUUGUAAUUUAACAAGCAAAUGCGUCUAAAAUAGUAGUAAAAUUAAUAAUAAGAUAAGAGUUGUAUGAUAUCCAAACAAUAACAACAAAAUAGUAACAACAUAAUAACAAAAUGAGAACAAAACAACAACAAACAGCAAACUACAACAGAAAAAAGAAAUUUAGGCAGAUUUGGAUUGGGCUAAGCCCAGGCUAAAAUUUUUUACUUUAGGCUUGGCUCUUUUAGAAAGCAAGCAUUAUUUUUUGUUUGAGUUUAUAUUUUUGUUCAAAUCUUUCCAUUUUUUGGCCAGGCCUUUCGAUUUAGGUGAGCAACCUGAUCUAUGAUUAGAUCUAAAACAUGAAAAAUGCUGGUAAAAUUAUUCAAUUUUGUGUUACAUUUAUAUUGGUAUUUCAAUAAUAUAAAAUUAAGACUCACCACUAUAAAACUAAUACAUUAACUUUUAAUAUUUAAGUAUUUUCAUUUAAUUAGUAGCUAAAAACCACAAUUUUUUAAUUUAAUUAUUAUUUUCAUUUAGGCUUUAAUUAUGGUUUGAUUUUCUUUACGGGUGUAAUAUUUUAAUUAUCUGAAUGGUUAAUACAUUUUAUUAUGUUUAACAAUGUGAAUAAUAUUUCUUUUUAUUAAUUACAUUACAUUAUAUAAAAUUAUAUUAUUUAAUGAAUUAAAAUACGUAAAACCAUAUGGAACAUGUGUAAAAUACAAGUUAAUAUACAUAAAAUCACAAAUAUAUGGAGAAUCUUAUGAACCCACAAAACUAUAACUUAUAGUUUAUCAUAUUAUAAAAUUAAUAUGAGAAUAAUAUUUAUCAUGACUUAUUGUUAUAUACACCUGUGUAAUUUUUUUUAAUUCUACAAGCAGAUUAAAAAAAUAUAUACUAAGUUAAUAUUAAAUUUACGUAAUUAAAGAUACAUAACCACUUCUUAACCCUACUUGAAGAGCGGGAGAAAAUAACAUCUAAAUCUGCCACUAGGAAAACAAAAUAAUUGGGCAGUAAAAAGUAUUUUUGGGUUCGAUUUCUCAAAAUGUGGCCUUCAUUUUAAAUUGUUUCUCUAAAUUUUUAAAUAUUCUAAUCACAUCUUUAAAUUAUUGAUUUUAUAUCAAUUAAGUCAUUUAAUUAUUAAAACGGUUAAUUUAAUUAUUAAAUGACAUAUCAAACUUUAUGUAAUAUAAUUUAAAAUGAAGAAUUUAGAUAAAAGUAAAAUGUUACCACAUAACUUUCAAAAGUAAAAACAAAAAAUAAAGUAAAAUUGAAAAAAGAGAGAGUGAUCGAUAAAGGUUUGUAAAGUUUCAAAUACCUCAAAAUCAAGAUAUAUAUUUUUUAAAAAUUUUCAUUUUAAACUAUGCCACAUAAGGCUUGACAUCUCAUUUAACUAUUAAAUUAAUGAUUUUAGUGAUGGAGGGACCAUAUUGAUAUAAUCUCGUUAGUUUAAGGAUGUAAUUAGAAUAUUUUAAAGAUUUGGGAACCAAUUUAAAAUGGAAAUUAUAGUUUAGGGAUGUAUGGUGUAAUUAACUCUAUUAAAAAUUAAUUUUAACUAAAAACUUGAAGAUAUCAUGGGUUGAGUUUUGCGGGACCUAUGUAUUCUAUUAACAUGCAUUAUAUCUACCUAGCUUAACUUGAAAUACGAGUCUUAAUUUUUACCCAAAUUUGUCUUUAUUUUAUAUAGCUAACUCAAAUUCAUUUUAAACCGUUCGUAUUAUUAUUAAUUUAAUAUAUAUUAAUUAUAUAUUUUUUCAUUUAUUAAAAUUUUAAACAUAGACAAAUUAAUACAUUUUUAAUGUAUAUAUUAUAAUAUUAUAUAUUUAAUUUUAUUUUAUAUAAAUUAUAAAAAUAAAUAAAACAAUAUAUUAUAAAAUAGAAAUCAAGUCGAGCUAGACUCAACAUAGCUAGUACCUUAAAAGUUGUAGUUUUAACGUGAUUCAUAUUUUAAACGAGUUUAAUUUAUUUACUCAUUGGAUAAAAGAUAUAUUUUGUGAUAUAAAGCCCAUAAGGAUAAAAGCCCAAAAUAGAGUUGAGCCCAAAAUAAAGAAUUUUGUCACUCACUACAUUACCCAUAGAAAAACCCUAGUUAGAGAAUCGAUAUAUUUGAUAGAAUUGAAUUUGCUAGACGCCACACGGAUAGCCCUAUAGCAGCAGCAGCAGCAGAAGCAGAAGCAAGGGGUUUAGAGACGAAAUGGCAGCGAAAAGGAAGACUCCCGUCAAGACCAGAAACCCAGAUCUGAUCCGUGGUGUGGGAAAGUAUUCCAGGUCUAAGAUGUACCACAAGCGUGGCCUUUGGGCAAUCAAGGCCAAAAAUGGCGGUGCUUUCCCCCGCCAUGAUCCCAAACCUAAGGCCCCCGCUGCCGCUGAGAAACCUCCCAAGUUUUACCCGGCUGAGGAUGUCAAGAAGCCGCUUCUUAACAAGCGCAAACCUAAACCCACCAAACUCAGGUUCUUCUUUUGAAAACCAUUAUUCCUUUAUUUAUAGAUUUCUGAAGAAAUGUUCCUUAUUUUUGGGUUUUUACUUGUUUUUUGUUUGUUUAGAGCAAGCAUUACACCAGGGACUGUGUUGAUUUUGUUGGCUGGAAGGUUUAUGGGGAAGAGAGUUGUUUUCUUGAAGCAACUUACUUCUGGGCUCCUUUUGGUCACCGGUGGGCAUUACAUAUUUUACUGCUAUCCUUUUUUCGUCAUUGAUUUGCUUACUGCUUGAAAAUAUUGGAUGUAUGAUAUAUGUUAUUCAAUUGCGAGUUGGAUAUAUGAACAUGUUUGUUAAAACCCUUGUUAUUGAUUUCUGCAGUAUUACUUCCAUAGUUUCUCACUUGGUUUAUUUUCUAGAAGCAUUAUGUUGCAUUUCCAUUUUGUGCUGCUUUUAUCUUAUAGAUAAGAUUUGAUGGUAACAAACCAAUUUAACAUUCAAUAUGCCCGAGAUUGAGUGAUGCUAUCUUGAAAAUUUGAUGCUUGUACUUGUUCGUUUUAUGUAUAUAAUGUAGUAUCCGCAUUUGUUGUCUGUUCGUCAUAAGCUAGAUUUUCUUUUUCAUUCCAUGGUUUGUUCACGUUUUUUGCUUAAAUUUGGGAGUCUCAAACGAUGGCAGGACCAUUCAAGAUCAACGGUGUUCCUUUAAGGCGUGUUAACCAAUCCUAUGUCAUUGCUACUUCCACCAAGGUUGACAUCUCAGGGGUUAUCGUAGACAAGUUUGAUGACAAGUACUUUGCCAAGGAAGUAGAGAAGAGGAAGAAGAAGACUGAGGGAGAGUUUUUCGAGGCUGAAAAAGAGGCAAGUUUGUUUUGGUUUGCAUGUAAUUAUAGCUUAAGCUUGUCCUAAUUGGAUUCUUAUAUUUUAAUGUGCUGAUUGUCUUCUCUUUUACAGGAUAAGAAAAAACUGCCUGAAGACAAGAAAGAAGACCAGAAAGCAGUCGACGCCUCUUUGAUAAAGUCCAUUGAGGGAGUCCCAGACUUGAAGGCCUACCUCGCCGCAAGGUUUUCUCUCAAGUCUGGCAUGAAACCGCAUGAGCUUGUCUUCUAGAGGAUAUUUUGCAUUCCUUUAUGUUAAAGGGCUUUUACUUUUGAAUUCUUUUGGUUUAGAUUAUCUAUGGUUUUAUUAUGGGGUGCUAUUGCUAUAUGUCCAGAACUUAAAUUUUGGAUAGUAUCUUCUGUUAUGCAAGAACUUAAAGUUUCCUUCUUUGUUUGUGUUCUGUGCUCAUAUGAUUGAAGCUUGUUCUAUUUUAAUGAUGGCCGAUGGGAACACAGUUAUUUCUACCUGAAUAAUUUUCAUAUCAGUAAAUAAAGUCUCUUAAUUUUGAACACAUUUAAUCACUAGCUUUUUUCCAUCCCUGAAGGCUGCAUCUUUAAUCAUGAAAUGCUUGCAUUUGAAAUUUCUUUAUCAUAGAAAAUUAUGAUUUGGGUCAAAAAAACUGAUUUGGAUUUGAAGAUCUAAAUUCUUUGUGUGGAUAAUAAAUAAAAAAGUUGGACUUGAAUUUGAGAAAAUUCAAGUUCAAUUUUAAAAAACAUGAGAAUUUUUUUUGUUCUCUUUUUUCACACUUUUUUCGGAACUCAAUCAAAAUUAGAUUGAUAGGUGAAACGGUCGAUUCUUCAAUUGAUUUGACCUAAUCAAUCUAUUCGAUUGAAUAAAUUAUUAAAAAUAAAAAAUUAUUUCAAAAUAGAUAAAAAUUGGUUCAAUCGAUUCAAUUUCAUGAGUUAAUCAAUUUAACCCUCCACUCUUGUUGAUUUGAUUUUGAAAAUAAUGACGAAACUUCAUGCAUCUAAUUUAAUACAAUAUAAAUAUUAAAAAAUUUCAUUUAUACCAUAAUUUCCACAAUUUUAAUUAAUAAAUCUCUUCCUUUUAAUUUGUAAUUUCCAUAAUUAGGUCACUGGUUUGUUGUUCCAAUUGAUUCGAUCAAUUCAACCGGUUUGAUUAGUAUGAUUAGUUUGAUCGGUCCAUCUGGAUCUAUUAAAUAAAGCAUGUAAAAAUUCAUAAAAAAUUUGGUUCAAUCGAUUCAAUUGCCCAAUCAACUGAUCGAUAGCGAUUCUCAAUUCAACCGGUCUAAUGCCUUUCUCCAGACCGAUACGUUGAUUUGUCCCCAAUAGACUGGUUCAAACAACAAUGUUCAAAGUCCUCUUAAAUAAUUAAAUUUUAAAAAAAAUAUAUUUUUAAGACUUAGAAUUAAUUGAAAUCUAAAUCUAAAUUUGAAUUAUACAAAUAAUAAAUUUGAAUUAAUUCAAAAUCUUAAAUUUCAAAUAUUUUAAUUCCCAAACAACAUAAAAAUAAUUAAUUCACAACUCAUAAAUUGCAAAACUAAAAUUCUAAAAUCCAAAUUUAAAAACUAACCUUCUUGAUUAAUUUCAAGAACAUAAAAAGCAUGCAAGUAGCCUUCAAUUGCAACUAUGCCCUUCCUUUCAAUAACUAUAUGCUCUUUGUUGCCAAUUUCCACUAUUGAAAAUAUUAUUUAUUUUAAUUAAUUUUGAACAUAAAUUUUAUUAAUUUUGACAUUAAUUGAUCAUUUUUUUAUGUAAGUAUUACAAUUAUUGAUGUGUCGGAAAACAAAUUUAUAUGUAAAUUGCAUGGAAAUUUUGACACGGAAACUCGAAUUGGCAUACAAGACGUUUAGAAUUUAGGAUUAUUUAUGUCGAAACCAUUUUCUAUAUUUUGAAAAAAUGGGGAUCGACUUUAAAAAAUAAAACUGGGAGUCGCCACCGAUCCUUUAUUGAGGUGUGAUCGGUUCACCAUUAAAAAUGAUUUUGGUCUGCGUAAUUUGAGAAAACAAGUUCGGGAGUCGGUUACGCACGAGGAAGGGUUAGCACCCUCGUAACGCCCAAAAUUGGUACCAAAUUGAUUGUUUAAUGUCUUCAGUGUCAAAAAUUUGAAAAGAUUUUAGAAUACGAUCCCCUGAAAUGAAAACCCGAAUAAACGAAUUGAAUAAUAAGACAUACCCAUUUCAAAGAAAUAAAUUGUCACACUCAGUGAGUUAGGGUGCAACAAUUCAAUCUUCGAAAUUAAAUUCGACCCCCUUUUUUAAGAAAAUCAUGUGUUUUAAGAAGGUUAUUCGAUUAUUUAAGUCAAUCGAGAAAUUAAAAUCCAGUAAGUUAGGGUUCAAUUUCUCAAAAUUCCUAAACAUCAGACAUUGCCUUUAUUUUAAAAUUGAGAUAACAAAAUGUUGUAUCCAGUAAGUUAGGAUCCAUCACUUUGAAGUUUCAAAAGCUUUAUUUUAAAGCUGUAUGGUUUUUACCAAAAUAAACGCUUGGCUAUUCAAAUUUGUCAAAAAGAAUUGAAGCCCAGUAAAUUAGGGCUUAAUUCUUGAGAACUAUGAACACUGGGUCCUUUUGAAAAUUAUGAAAUAAAAAUGAUUGUAAUGCUCCAAUAAAAUACAAUUUUUACAAAUGAGACAUGACAGAAGCAAUAUAUAUAACGUAAAAAAUAAAUAAAUAACAACUCAAAUAUACACUAACAAGUGGCAAACAAAUAGUAGGUAAAUGCAAAUAACCAUAAUGAUUUUAAUUAUACUAUACAAACAUCGAUGUCAAUGCUCAAAAACUAAAUAAAUUUAUCAUAAAUUCAAAAGAUACAUUAAGAUAAUAAAAAAACAAUAUAUCCUAUGUACGAAAGCUUCCAAAUAAAUUACAUAUAUGAUCUUCAAAAUUGACACAAAAUAUAAUAAAACAUUAGAUAAUUGGUAUUUGAAAUAAAUUGAAAAUAAAUUUAAAAUAGACAAUAUACAUUUAUUAGUUUGAUAUAUAAAUAAUGCUUAUAAUAAUAUAAUAAUAAUGAUAUAUAUAUACUAGUAAAAAAAUAGAAUAGGGAAAUUGCAUUUUAAAAAAACAUAAUUAUAUAUAAAUAAAACCGAUUUAAAAGACAUAUAAAUAAAAAUUUAAAGCUAAUAAUCAUAAUGAAAUCAAAAUAUUAAUAUAUACUUAAGAAAAGAAUAAUUUCGUGAGUUAUAUCUAUUUAUAAAUAAUAGUAUAAAAAAAAAAAAAGUGUAGUAGGCUUAAAAUAUUAAUGUAUGAUGAAUUUAAAUAAUGCUAAUAAUGAUUUAAAAUAAUAAUAUGUCAUAUCUUAAAAACAUACUAAUAAUAAAAUUAAAAAGAUAAUAUCAAAAUUAAAAAUUGAAAUAAUAUAAGCUUUUAGAAAUAAAUAUGUCAAAACUAAGAAUUAAAUAGAAUUAGAAUUAAAUAAAAAAACUAAAUUUCUAGUAGAAUUAAAAAACGAGCUAGAUUGAUAAUUGAUUCAAAACUGAGGGAUCAACACAGCAAUUAAACGCAAAUGCUAAGAUGCUCCAAUCCGAUCAGCGAAAAUGGCGGCGUUUAGAUAUGGAUCUAAAUGAAAUAAAAAUAAAAAUGCAAUAACAAUUUAAAAGAAUCGAAAGGAAACUGAAUCAAAAAGAAAGCCAAUGCAGAGGGAUUCAAUGCGAAAAUUUCCCCUUAAUUUCAAAAGGCGAGAUCCUCCCCGAAUCAAGUCGGAUCAUCGGGUCAAGGCACCAAACGGUUCUGUUUUGGGAGCCACUAAGUCUAGCCCCAAACGGUGCUGUUUGGAAUACCCGCAAACAUCAUUCUAAACCCUAAAUUAGAAAGAAACUAAGUCAUUUUCUUUUUUUCUUUUCAACACAAUCAGCAACCUUAUGCCCCCCAUUCUUUCUCAUCUGCCGCUUCAACAAAUUCAAAGCCUCAUCUAGCUCCGAUUUGGACAGAGCAGAUAAGGCUUUGUCACCGUCUCCGCGCAGGUAAGUAUACUCCCUCCUUUAUUCUAUUUGUUUUACAAAGAAGAAAGAAAAAGAGAACAAAAAUAAAACUUAAACUAAAGAAAACUCUGCGCCGUUCGACAAUCUGUUCCUCAGGUUCUUCGAUCCCCUUUUCAACUCCGAUGACGACGGAGAGAAAGGAGAUGCGGUCACCAGGUAUAUGACUCUUUAACUCCUAUUUUCUUUUCUUUUUUAUUUUUUUUUGCACUGAAUAUGGAAUAAGUAUAAAAAAACGAAGCAGAAGAAAGAAUGAAAAGAAAAAGGAAAUCUGCAAUCACCUUUCAAGUUUUUUUGAUUUCUCUCGAUUUUUUUUGUAUUCAAUAUCGUGUAAAAAAAGGAAGAAGAAUCCCCUUUCAAUACAGAAAAUGGGGUUUUAUAGCCCCCGAAAAUACAAAAUAUAUAAAAAGAAAAUAAUACAAAAUCCUCUCCGCUAUUUCUGUUUUUCUAUUUCUUUUUGCUGCAUCUGUUGCGUUGUUUGUUUCUGUUGCAGGUGUGGCGUUUGUUGUGUGCAGGUACGGCCUGGAGAAGGCGCGCGUGGACUUGGCGCGGAGGCGCAGCACGCGCGGGGAUCUGACACUGCUGCGACACGAGGGCAGAAAGCUGCUGCUGCUGAGGCGCGAAAGCAUUUUAGAAAACCUAGGGGUUUCUGGGAUUCGGGUCGUUUAGUUUGGGCUUUAAUUGGGUUUGGGCUUGUUGGGCUAAGUGGUUUGCUGGGCUUAGAAUCAGGUUUAGGUUUGGGCUAGAGUCUUCUGAUUUAGUGGGCUAGGUUAAAUUUUGGUUGUAAUUUUGGGCUGAUUUGGGCUAAGUGUAAUUGGGUUUGAGGCUCAAUGUAAUCCAGGUUUGGAUUCUAUUACAUGUAAUACUGGACUGUAUUGGACUUUUAUUAUAUUUAUUAUAUAUAUUUUAUAUUUGGGUUUUAAUUUUGGGCUCGGGUCGGGUAAAAUUUGGGUAUUACAAUUUAUUUUUAUUAAUAUUUUUGUUAAAAAAUAUUUUUGGUAAAUUACACUAACAAUCACUCAAUUUUGAUGUCACUGGCAGAACAGUCAGUCUGCUUUCAAUUUAGUCACUCAACUUUCGAAAAAUAACAAACCAACCACUAUUGUUAUCGAGUUGACGUGGCCAAUUAAACUGUUUACGGUGUAGCCUAGAGGCCCAUAUGACCACGUCAGCUCGAUAACGUUAGUGACUUAAUUUAUUAUUUUUCGAAAGUUGAGUGACUGAAUUGAAAGCAAAAUAACUGUUUUGUUAGUGACAUCAAAAUUGAGUGACUAUUGGUGUAAUUUACCCAAAUACUUUUAAGAGAUAAAUUAGAAUUAGAUUAAAUUUACCUUUGAGAUCAACUAGAAUCAGAUUAGAUAUUUUUGGUUUGACACAUUAGGUUUAUUGUUUCUUCUUGGAUUUAGAUUUCAAUUAUUACUUAAAUGGCAAUAACAAUGGACAAAUUGGUUGAAAUUCAGUCAAAUCUAGAAAUAUUUGAAAGAUAUUAAAUUUAUUACUGAAUAGGCUUCUAUGGAUUAGAGAAAUGAUAAUGAAUCUUACAUUCUGAAAUCUUUUACUAAAUUUACCCUAUUUUUGAAAUCCAAUUCUCACACACAUUAUUCUUCUGUCAAAACACUUGAUGACACAUCAAGAAACUAGACAGAUAUAAACAAACUCGAUUAAUUGAGUGAAGAACUUAAAACUCUAAAUAAUGAAGUGUAAAAGAAAUCGAGUAACUUGCGGUGUAGUUAACUUUAUAAAGUAAGUGUAAGUUAAAUUUAUAAGCACAUUAGAGAAGAAAUAAUGUAUUCACAAAGCACUACCCCCUUCUCUUUUCAAUUUUAAGGGGGUGCCAUCAAAUUUCAGUUGCUAUUAGCCCAUUUUUCUGAAGUGAUCAACAAAAACAGUCAUUUAACCACCGGGACUGGCUGAUGCACUGUCAUAAGGAGGAUUCUUUCCACUCUAAUCUGUUAAGCCCGUCAACGAUUGCCUUUCGGAACUCAUUGUUAUGUAGAAGAAACGACGAGACAUGGCCACCUGUGACCCAUCUCACUUCUGAACCAGGCCAAGCCUUUUGAAGCUCCAGCACCGAGUGUUUUGGUAUGUAACCAUCAUCCUGAAACGCAUAAUUGCAGUUGAAAUAUAUAGAUAGCACCAUUGGCAUUCUAUGAAAACUAUAAAACAUAUGAAUGGUAUACAUAUGUGUGUGUGUGUAUAUAUAUAUAUAGGUGUUUGAUUAUCGUAAGACCUUAUUUACAGUAUGUGGAAAUACCCAAGCCCCUUUAUCCUUCACAAGGGGAAGAAAACUUAAUCGUGGACCUUCAAAUAAGACUUAACAUGGAUGAUCCAAACAAUCAACAACCUUUUUCAUAACUAGAAAUUUUAAAUGGUCAAUAGUUAAGCAUUGAAUGUUUUGAAUCAAAUCUUUACUGGCCUUAUGAAUGACGAUGCAUUUAAAUGGUCAAAAUAGUUAAGAAAUUGAAAUCUGAAUAUUAACACAAAUUACUUAUAGAAUGCAUCAUAACUCAUAAGGUCAGUAAAGAUGCUAGACAAGCUAAACUUUGAAACAAUCAAGCUCCCCACAUGAAUCAUCCAUUAAAAAGCCAUGAUAGAUUUAUUCGCAGCAAAAUUUAAUAGUAAGAAGUUUUCAUGUUCUUAAGCAACAUCCAUUAAAAAACAAGAUGAAGAAAGUGAUUCAAUAACAAUAUCAACAAGCUCCUUAUUCAUAUUCUUAAGCAACAUCCAUAUUGUCAAAUAGAGAUAUGGUACUUACAGUUGCUGCAACAAAUAUUAUGGCAUUAGGGUUUUUGGGAAUUGGAAAGCGUGUGACAUCUGUGAGAGACAGUACAUUUCGCAUUCGUUCUCUCACCUCCUCGAGAGUCAUUGCAGCCUUUUUUGCUGCAAGAUCCUCUCUCAGUGCCUCCCAUGCAGUGGCAUGCUUCAAUAUACCCUCACAGAAUGCCACAACAGCAGAAUGUGGGGAGAGAAAAGGAAGGGUUGCAACAGGUGUGGGGUGCAGUGAUCCAACCAUUGCAGCAUGCACUCCCCCUAUUCCCAUAAAAGCAUCAAACUUCAAAAGGGUGUGCUAACUAACAAUACAAAUAGAAUAAAAGCACCACAAGAACAACAAUUCUUACCCAUGCUAAGUCCACACACACCCAUCUUGCCAAACCCUGCCUCAGAGUCUAACCAGUAUAAAAGGCUCCGAGCCUCUUCAAUGGUUGCUCGUCCUAAUAAAAGCAAAUCACUGACACACAAGAGUUUUGCACCACGCUGCAGCAUAGGACGCCUUUGACCAUAGAAAGGGCUAUAAAAACAGUUAUAUUAAUUAGAAAGCCUAAAAGCACAAGUACAAGAAGAUAAGCUUAGCUUCAAAAAGUAGUUGAUAAUACAGAAAGGACUCUGACCUCUCAAGCACCAUAGUUGCAAUGUUUUGUUUCAAUAAUGGUCCACCAAGACGCAAUCUCCGUUCAAAUGUAUGGUCUCCUGUGCCUGUCAAAGAGGUUACAUUUUAUAUCAUUAAAGAUGAGUUUUAAACAUCAAAUUCACAACCUAAAAUAAUUUUAAAUUUGAAGCAAUACUUGCAAGAUUGUAGUAUACAUCUAAGCUGAAAUACUUGGAAUGAAUAAUCUAGGAAAUAACAGGUAACAAAUGAUACAGGUAUAGCAAACAAUACAAAGGUUUUAUACACGAGUAAACAAAACAGCAGCACGAGAACACGAAAUCUAGUGAAUAUGUCUAUGUUUUCUUAUUUGAUAGUAGGAUCCAGUAGAAAAUAGUAAGCCUCGAAAGUCGAAAGUUGAAACAACCACAAUAAACUGUAUUCAUUUCAAUAUCCACAGAGGCAUUUCAGGGUGUUGAUGUAAUCUUCAAACAGACUUGUGCUAUACCAUCCACUGCUUAUAAGCAUUCUCUUAUCUUCUUUAAGAUUUUAGAUUUUGAACAUUGGGCAUAGCAUGUAGGCUUCAGUCAAAAUCUACAUCAGGAAUAAAGCAGCCUAGAUAUUCAUUACUAGAUGAUCAUUCUAAGCUCAAACCAAGAAUAUAAACAAUCAAUUUGCACUAUCCAGGAAGAUAAACAUAAACAAACAACUAAGAUUCACCAACUUAAAAAGUGAAUCACUAAUAAACUAAACUACACUCAAACUAUGAGAAGACCAAAUUCUUGUAAACCAGCUUAAUUAAUCAACAAAAGCAAUCAAAAAGCGCACACAAAGAUACCUGCUAGGUGAACCACACAUGCCAUCUUUUGAGGUGGCACAUCUUUUGGGACAAGGAAAGCGACCCUCGCAUUAUGACUUUCAGGAGGCAAUGCACUAAGCAACUGCUCAUCACAAGGGGUCCUAAACACACCUUCUCUCAAACAAGCAUUUUGGGUCUCCCAAACAGUUCUCCAAAUGGGUUGAAUCAAGCUUGGAGGCCAGUUUUGGCCUUCAACUUCAGGGAACAACUGGCUUAUCAAUCUCUCCAAAAGCUCAAGCUUUGUUCCACCCCACCCUCUUGAGAAGAACGGUGGGGUUAUCUUUGUUCUAUGCACAAAUGCACCAUAUACAUGGUCUAGAAUGUAAUGAAGCAUCCCUAUAUUAACUGUAACCAUAUUUUUUUCUCUUUUUGAAGAAAACCCAGAUUUCAAAAUUGCUUAAAAGAGAGGAAAUUUGUAUCUCUUUAUUGAUUCCGCUUCAGUAUCAACAACCCAGUAAUCAGAACUCAAUAACAAGAUCAGUUUUUUUUCAUAAAAAGAACAUUGAUUAGAAUGUGGAGAAAAGCACAAUACAAGAUCUGUUGAAUAAAACCAUACCUUCCCCUCUAAAAUCAAUGAAGCAAUAACAUUGCAAGAGAAAAUUUUUUUUCAAGAGCUGUAAAGUAUUCAGGGUAAGCAAUUAACAAGAAAAAGAGAAGAUUUGAGAUAAUGAAGUGAGACCCAGAAAGAUAGAAAAAGGACGGAUUAUGAAGAAAGGAUGUAGCUUUCGAAUUGUUUUCGGGGGUUUUUUAUUCGAAGCAAAUAGGUUAAAACAUACUAUUAGUCCCUGUUCUUUUAACGAAAUUUGAGAUUUAGUCCAUGGACUUAAAAGGUUAAAAUUGAUUUUAAAAUAUCAAUCCCAUCAUUAAAAUCUUUAUGGCAUGUUAAUUUUAUGACAAUUAUUGGAUUAAUAUUUUUAAAUUGAAAACAAAUGAAUCAUUAACUUUUAUAGUAUAGAGACUAAAUAUCAAAUUAUAUAAAAGUAGAGGGACUAAUAAAAAAUUUAAACCAAACAAAUAUUAGGAACCAAGCUAAAGCAAACCAUACCGCCGCUCUAAUCUGUGGGUGGUAUUAAGGAUUGGGUCCUACAUGCCACGUCAUUGAACAUCUAUUUGCCACGUCGUCAUUGCCGAUUUGCUGUUUUAUUGUCUCACUUUCAUGUCUGUGUAGUAUAUGCCUAUAUGGUGGUGAGUGGGUGAGGGUCCCCACUGUCUUCCCCAUAAUUGUAGAAGCCAGCAUGGAACACAGUGGAUAAGGUUGUAAUUAUGUUUAUUUUCAUUUUCUUACUAAAUAAUUUUGAAUAAAUAAUUUAAUAAAAAUUUUAAAAAAGUUGGUUGAGGAUUUGAUGUGGAUGAUCAUAUUGUAAUCAAGUAUCUUAAUACAAGGACCCAGCUGUUAUUAUUAUUUUUUAUUUUUAUUCCUUGAUAUAUCUUAAGCAACUUUUAAAAUAUGAUUAUUUUUUAUUUAUUUGGAUGAAAAUCACUAACAUAGAAUUUUGUUUUUAGUGUAUAUAGGUGAAUUGUUUAUCUCAAGUCUCAACCUUGACAUUAUAAGUUUACUAAAGUUUAUAUGAAAUUAGGUUAGGGGACUUAUAUGAUAAUAUUAUCAUUCAAUAAAUUACAUUAAUAAUCAUCCGAUUAGAGGUGUCUAUGGUCGGGCCCAACAAAAAAUUUAGGCUCGGGCUUGGCCCAAAAAUGGGCCUAAAAUUUUGUCUAAUUUCGGCUUGGAUAAAAAUAUUAAAACCCGAGCCCGGCCGUAUAAUUUUUUAUAUAAUUUUUUAAAAAAUAAUACAUAAAAAUAUUAAAAAUAUUAAAAUAAAUGUUUCCCAACAAAUUAAAAAAAAUUAAAAAUAUGUAUACUUAAAUAAUACUAACUUAACAAGUAACUGCGAAAAAUAGUAACAAAAUUAAUAAUAAAACAAAAGUUAUACAAUAUCCAAAUAAUAACAAUAAAAUAGUAGCAACAUGGCUGUGAAAUUGAAGCAAAAUAGUGAAAAAAACAAAUAAAAUAGCAAGAAAAUAAUAAAAAAAGUAAAAAAAAAAACAACAAGUUUUUCUUUUCAUAUUUGGUUCGGGCUGGGCUCAAGUAAAAAAAUAUUUACUCGAAGCUCGACUCGUUUUCUAAACAAGCAAUACUUUUUUACCCAAACCUAUUUUUCGUGUAUGUAUUUUUACUCAAACCCUCAUAUUUUUGAGCGGAGUCCCAACUCAACCCACCCAACAUUGAUCUCUUCAUUAAAAGUUGUCUCAACCGAGUCUUUUAAAAUCUCAAGGCCCAAACCGAAGGCCCUAUAAAGGGUUGACUCCUUUGCAGCACAAUUUGAAGAAGGCUACGUUGACCAAUGAUAGAACUAACACUUGGUAACAAUUUGCCUUAUCAUUGGUUAUAAAAGUGGUAAAAAUAUCAUGGAGCCUUUUAAUUAAAAGUUGGAUUGAGUUUAAGUGUACUAAAUUGCAUGAUGUUUUAAUAAAAAAGUCCUUUUCUUAAGAUUUUAAACCCUAAUAUCUUUAUAUAAGUUGAAGGGUUUAUUAUGGUAAAAAUAUCUUUCAUAUUUUAUAGUUAAUAAAAAUUAAAAUUUUCAAAGUUGAUAUUUCAUAAUUGUUCCCUCCCAUGCUCAAAAUUUAUGUUAUCUUGAACAAUUUAUAUUCUCAUUCACUAGGGAUCCAACCGGAAUUAAUGAGAAAGCAAACCCAAUCUGAUAUAUCCAAAAGCCACAUACAUUACAGUUUUGUAUUACUACAAAUUCAGAUCAACAGGAUGGAAAUGGAUUUAGCCUAAGGAUAGGGGCACAAAUGAGGGGAUGAGCUCGUGGAAGUGUAAGUCCAGGUCCUUCUUCCAUAUCAACACUUCCAUCAACCUUCCAAUCAAAGCAUUGAAUCAUAAUAGCAAGACUGGUUUGAACAACUUGCAACGCCAUUGAAGUUCCAGGGCAUGAUCUUCUCCCACUCCCAAAUGGCAACAAAUGAAAAUGUUGUCCCCUUACAUCCAUUUGACUACUUCUCCCAUUCACAAACCUCUCUGGUCGGAAUUCAAGCGGGUUCUCCCAGUGAUCCCGGUCCCUACCGAUCGCCCAUACGUUAAUGAACAGUCGUGUCUUUGCCGGAAUUUCGUAACCUUCAAUAUUACAAUCCUCGCUUGAUUCCCUUACAAUCAUAGGACCAGCCGGAUGAAGCCUUAAUGUUUCCUUUACAAUAGCUUGAAGGUAAGGGAGGUUGGUGAUAUCUGAUUCUUGUACUAUUUUGUCUUUCCCUACAACAAUAUCUAUCUCUUGUCUUGCUUUUUCCAUUAUGUUUGGAUGAUUAAUAAGCUCUGAUAAUGCCCAUUCUAUUGUAACAGCACUUGUGUCUGUCCCAGCUACAAAUAGGUCCUAAAAAUCCAUAUAGAGUAUCAGUCAGUUAAUUCGACUCCAAAUGUUUGUAAAAUUAUAAAAUUUUCUGAAAGUUUUUAUUUAUGUUAUUGAAAGAAAUGUCUUUUAAUGAGUUAACUUAACCUAAAUUACUUUGAUUUAUGCUUUUUUUUUAAGUUCUUGAUCAAGUAACAACAUCAGCUUAUUUUAAACCCUAGUCUCUUUUCAUUGUCACUUGACAUCUAUGGCAUUCUCUAUUUGCAUUGCUGACAUUAAUUGAAAGCACACUUUUUCUUCUCAUUUUCUAUGACUUAAUUUUUCUCAUGAACUAACUUUAAAUGUCACGAAUUUGUGAAUUAAAACCCAAACAAUUUUCUUCUUCUUCAAUUUUUAAUGUUGAUCAUUAGUAUAUUCUUUUACUUGUUGCUGAGUACUAUACUAUCAUAUAUCGAUUAUCGAAUUAUCAAUUAAACUCAUCAACCAGAUUUCAAUUAAAACUUAAUGACUCAGUUAAUUAGAUAAAAAAUUUAGAACAGAUCACUAAAUAACCAAAACUUACUAACAAUCCAUUGACUUCGGGUGUAGUUAACCUAAAGAUUAUAUAAUUCAAAUAUUAUAAAAGUAGAUGAUAAAAGAAGGUUACCACUUACCAGGAUGAAUGCCUUAAUGUUUUCUCUGGUUAAUCUCAUCUCCGAGCUUUCAUCUUGUGAAAUAUCAAGUAAAACAUCAAGUAAAUCUUUUACUGUAUUAUCAUCCUUGUUUGUCUUCCUUGCUUCUUCAUGUUCCUUUAUUAUUCUAUCCAUCAUUGAAUCAAACUUAUCACGUACUUGUUUCAGCUUCUUGUUCAUUCCUUGCAAAUCCAAAUUCUUACAAAACCAGAUAAAAUCCGAUAAAUUAAACUGUCCCGACAGCUUAGCUAUAACUUCCACCAACUUCCUUACCUCUUCAGCUUCAUCUUCAUUAUUACAACAUCUAUCAUUCAUUAUCAUUCUCGACACAAUAUUAUUGGUCAACCUUACUAGCUCACCUCCAACAUCUACUUUUUCACUAGCAUUAGCUGUUUUCAGCAUGAACUGCAAAAACCGGAUUAAUUCUUCACGUCGAACCAGAAGAAACUGAUCCAACAUUCGACCACUUAACAGCUCCGACAUGCAGAUUUUCUUCAUGAAUUUCCAGUACGGUCCGUAAGGAGCAAAGGAGAAAUCAGCUGAGCCAUAUGUAAGGUAGUCAACAACGGCGGUUAUCGGUCGGUUUGAGAAAGAUGAUUCGUGGGUUUUGAGGAACUGCUUGGCUAUUUCCGGAGAGGAAGCCACGACACAUGGGACAGAACCGAGACGGAUAUGUAUUAAGGGUCCAUGUUUAGUUGAAAGCUUGUGAAGGGCUUGGUGAGGUAUGGGAGCAAGGAGGUGGAGGUGUCCGAUGAUUGGUAAGGCUAUUGGACUAGGUGGAAGACGUGUGGUGGUCCGGUUCUUGGUGAAUAUGGUUCUGAACAAAAUGAAAGACAGUAGCCAAAGGAAGAAAACUAAGAAGUAGGCUUGAAAAUCAGCCAUUUUUGAACCUUGGUUAAUCAAUUAACACGUAGACUUUUGAUUUUAUAAGUGGUAGGAUGAUCGACUUCCAUUAAUUGGUUUAAAGUUUGUAUUUGUCAUGUAAUUGAAUUUUGGGUGUUGGUUUGCCAUGACUAGGUCAGUGGCCGUCUCCCUUGGAUAUUGACAAGUUCAAAAGUAUUUAGUUUUUUUUUUUUAUAUGUAAGGACAUUUUUGUAGACUUAUGAUUUUAUAAGUGGUAGGAUGCUAGACUUCCAUUAAUUGGUUUAAAGUUUGUGUAUUCGUCAUGUAAUUGAAUUUUGGGUGCUGAUUUGCCAUGACUAGGUCGAUGGUCGUCUCCCAAGGAUAACAAGUUCAAAAGUAUUUAGUUAUUUUUAUAUGUAAGGACAUUUUUUUUUUGUCUUGUUCUUCCAAUCAUUCUUUCUUUUGGCUUUAUGUUGCUUUUAGAUGAACCUUUCUUUCUCUUAGAAAAGGCUUUUGGUUGUUUCCGCAAGUAGCCGGCCAGGAGCAAAUCAAGGGUUAUCUAAAUAAUGGGAAAUGAUUCUACGAAAACAUACACACUACAUCAUCUUCUAUCUCUUAUUAAUUAUUUAACGUCAUUUUAAUAUUAUUUUUUAUAUUAUUGAUACAUUAUUUUGAUAAUAUUUAUAACCUGAAUCCUUGAUAUUAAACUUUGGAUUUUAGACCCAAAACCUUAAAUCCUAGACUUAAGAACCGGAACCCUAGAUAUUGAGCCUUAGACUAUGGCCUUGGAUGGGUCCAGGGGCUAGGGUCCAUGGUCCAAGGUCCAAGGUCCAGGGUGUAAGGUUUAAUGUCCAGUGCUCAGGGUUCAGGUUAAAAAAUUUACCAAAAUGUGUCAAUAACAUGAAAAAAAGAUGCUGAAAAGAUAUUAAAUAAUUGGUAAGAAAUACAAGAUGAUGUGGCGUCUUUAUUUCAUACAAUUCUUUUCCAUAAAUAAUUUUGUUUGAACAAAUUAGAUCGAAAAUUAAUCGGGGUUAAAUCUAUUUUUCUAAAAUUAUUCAUUGAUUAUGAAAGAAUUUAUUGAUCAUAAACAUAUUUAAUUUUUGAUAAACCCAUUAAAAUACAAAAUAUUAUUUUUAAAUAUUUUAUAAUAGCAACUUUUUAUUUUUAUAUAAAUAAGUUAUAAAAAUAAAAAAAAUUUAAUGAACUAAACUGAAAUAUUUUGAUUCAGUUAUGACAAUAAAUCUAGUUUGAUUUAUUCGAUUUUAGACACUUAGGGCUAGUUUAACAUUGCUUUUGAGAAGUACUUUUAAAAAGUGCUUUGGAAAUGUAAUUUUGAAAAGUUUGGUCCAAGAUUUAAAUGUUUAGUAUUGCUAUCAAAAAGCGCUUUUGAGAAAUAAAAUGUCCAUUUUAGAUAUGGUGUUAUAAAGUAACAAAUAAGCAUUUAAAUAAUGUUUAAAUUAGUUAAUAUUAUGAUAUUUUAAUAAGAAUAUAGAAAAUAAUUUAUUAUAAUUUGUUGUUAAUAUUUUAAUAUAUAAAAAAUAAAUUUUAAAUAUUUUUUAAGCAAUUAACCAGAAAAGGAAAAGUAUCAUGUGUUGGAGGUAUGAAAACAUAAUUAAGUUGUUAAAAGUGAUUUUGAGAGAGAAAAGCGAAAAAUUUUAACUUCUCCAUUUGGGAAAAAGUGGUUUUAAAAAACAAAAAAUUUCCUUCAAAAGUUAUUUGUUUAGUAAUCCUUUUGUUUCAAAAGUGUUUUUCAUAUCAAAAGUGCUUCUAAAAAGCACUACUAAACACAACCUUAGUUGAUUUAUUUGGUUAUUGAUAUUAAAUAAUCGAAUCAAUCGAUUAUAGGUUCUUAAUAAAAGACAUUGCGCUUUCAAAAAGAAAAUGUACGUUCAAAUUUUGAAAAUGAUAUUAUUAAAAGAGAUAACAAUAAAUCGUAAAAUGAAAUAGAAAAAAAAUAGUGAAACUCACGGGAUGGACAAGUUUUCUUACCUUCCAAACUUAAUCUUACGCUAGCUAAGUGAUAGCCAAAAUGCUCAUCUCUCUUUUCCGCCUUCACUUGCCGGUUCUCACAAGCUUAGAGUGGGAAAUUUGUCAAGCUUUUGGCUUUGACACCUAGCAUGAGUUUAACCACCAAUUCACCUAGUUAUGCCAUCUAUCCCACUAAUUCUUUGAAUAUUCCAGGCUUCACAAUGGAUCUGCGAAAAGUAGUAAACGUUGGUGGGAAGAAACAUCUCUUAACUCCUACUAUUCUAAAAAAAGGAAGACCAUAAGAAAUGUCAACAAAAUCAAAAGCCUAUGAUGAUGGUUACAGCAGAUACCAUGUCAUUUGUAAAUGAAGUCGGGUGAUCAAUGCUUUUCCAAGUGAUUUUACCUUACUUGUAUGUAAGAUCUCUGGUAGAUCCAAAUAGAAACAUUUCAGGUUCAUAACUCGUUUGAACUUGUUGCUGAAAGCUUUUUAUGAUUCAUAUUAAAUAAUUCAUAGCAAAUUAAGAAAGAAAAAAGUUCGAAUUAGUAAGCGAAACCAUAUUAGAAUAUUUAAACUAUAGUACUAGGAAUUUAAUCUAUACCAAUGGAUGGAAUUUUGACAUUAAGAAAGAAAGAAUUGCCUAUAUAAGCUUGGGUGAUGAUAUUUCCUCUCAAUUAAAGGUCACGGCUACAUAGUUUUCCUCUUAUCUCUAUGGUGGACCAAUUGUACAUGCAACUAGUCCCUCCUGACCCAUUUACCAUAUUCUUAAUAUCACCUUUAAACUUUACACUUAGCUUUUGAGUAGAUUUAUUCAUGAGUUGAAUUAAACUAUAGUUGGAUAUUAAAAUUUUUAAACUCUAAAUUUAUUAAUUUAUUUUACUCAAAAAAUCUGUUUAACUGUUCAAAAAUUAAUAAAUUAUUAUUUUAUAUAUUAUAUUUAAAAAUAUUCUUAUAUUCAGAUACACCCAAAACCUUGUACAAACCCAACCCAACCCAAUUCAGGCCGGCCUUAUGUACUAAACAUUUUGUUUAUCAGCAAAUAUCCACUCGAAAUUGCCUCACUAUUAUCGAUGCAUAGGGUUUAAUUACCAUCUAACCGCUUUGUCCUUUCAUGGUGAUAUUUGCAUUUAAGUCCCUCCUAUUUCACCACAAUCCCAACUCAAUCCUUGCUCACAGUUUAAUAAUUAUACUUCCAUCAACUUAAAUUACCUUGUUAAGUGUCACUUUAAAUCUACAGUCCUUUUUCCGCAAAUAAUAAUUACUUAAAAAUUUUGGAGCACCGGGAAUUUCCGGAAUUAUUCUUUAAAAAUUAAGUUUUUUUUUAGUAAACUGAUUUUUUGAGUUUAACAUUUUUGUGUUGUACAAUAUUAAAUUAAGAUGAUGUCUGCUCUAAGACAAACGAUGACAUGUAUUCUUGGUUGAGUGGGGAUGUGUAUAUAUGAUAUAAUAUUAAGGUUGGGCAGCUGAUUGAUACAUUUCAAAUUUUCUACUAAGGUGUACUAUGAAACAGGGACCCAAAUUGAUGUGUAUAUAUUACCUUAAGAAUCAACGACCAAAAUUAAUAUUUUAUUCAAAAAAUAAAUAAAUUAGAUUAAAAUUGAAAUUAAAUUCCAUAUCAUCUCCUCACAGUCUAACCCUCUUAGUGGCUCGAUUAGUCCUCUUUAAUCCAACUAAGCUCGAUGCAGCAAGCUUUUCCUUGUAUGAAUUGGCGAAAGUGUCCAUUAAUCGAAAAUGUUGAUGAUGCAAUACUUAGUAUAAUUUGUUUUGGAGUUUAGUUUCAUGAUGGUAAGCAAUCUACAACAGUGGUCCAUGGGAUCAAACACCGUAGCUUCCUGGAUGUUUAUAUCAAUCUGUCAUAUCAUUUUUUGUUUGAGUUAAGUAGGUUCUAUCCUUGGUUUUAUUCAAAUCUCACAUCAUUUUCCAGGUUUUAUAGUUUAAUUUAUGUUCUCCAUCACUAAAGUAAUUGUGCAUUGACUGGACCACUUCAGAGAUGGCUCAAGUAUUAGAUGCCAGUUAAUAGUAUUUCACCUCAUGAAUGCCAUGGAAAUGAAACUGAUAUAUUGAGAAAUACUGCAUUAGAAGGGUUAAAGGUCAGUUAGAAAAUGGUAGAGAAUCUAUCUAUCUAUAAUGACUGCAACAUUAAUUCCUGAUAGGAUCCGAACCAAAAUGGGAUUUUCAGUGGGAACUUAUGCCCCUUUCAGAUGGAUUCAUACUGGUUUGCAUAUUUCGAGCACCUCAUCAUAUGAUAUAUAUUUGAUCAUAGUAGCAAACUUUGCACUCUUUGUAUCUUUAUUAGGCAACAUAAAAAAGAAAGAUACAUGGAUAUAGACGCUGCAUGCAUCACCAGAAAACACUCCUAAUAACACAGCAUACAAUAGAUUACAAUCAAAUAGAGGGAAAUGGAUUAAGCCUGGCUACUGGGAAACAAAUCAAGUCAUUUGCCCUAAGUAGAGUCAUCCCAUUCUUCUCUUCCAUGUCAACGUUGCCAGCACCAUCCCCAAGCUUCCAUUCAAAGCACUGUAUCAUACAACCAAGGACGGUUGAUACAAUGCUGAGUGCUAGUGCAGCACCAGGACAGCUUCUUCUUCCACUCCCAAAUGGCAAAAGAUUAAAAUCGUUUCCCAUCACAUCUAACAUCCAUGGACUCCUCGCUUGCCAUUCUUCACUGUUAAGAAACCUCUCUGGUCGGAACUCACGGUGGUUCUUCCACUGUUUUGGGUUUCUUCCAAGUGACCAUACAUUAACAUACAGACGAGUAUCUGCUGGGAUUUCAUAACCAGCAAUAACACAAGCUUUAGUUGAUUCUCUUACGAUAAAUGGUCCACUGGGAUGAAGCCUUAGUGUUUCUUUCACUAUAGCUUGUAAGUAAGGCAAGUUGCCAACAUCUGAUUCCUCUAAUAUUCUCUUCUUCCCAACAACACAAUCGAUUUCCUCUCUUGCUUUCUCCAUAACUUCUGGGUUAUUAAGUAUCUCUGCAAGUCCCCAUCCCAUUGUUGUUGAUGAUGUAUCAGUGCCAGCCCCAAAUAAAUUCUGCAAACACAUCAAAGCAUACAAAAUAAAGGCACAUGAAACAAAUUACAACACUAUAUGUGCAUAUGAAACAUACCAAAAUGAAAGCCUUAACGUUUUCCCUUGUUAAUUUGACCUCUGAGCUCUCAUCUUCAUAAACAUCAAGUAAAAUAUCGAGAAAAUCUUUCACUUCAUCACCACUUUCAUUCCUUUUCUUCCUUUCUUCUUCAUGCUCUUUUAUGAUUCUUUCCAUCAUUGUAUCAUACCGGUGCCGAACUUCCACUAGUCUUUUCUUAAAACCCUGCAAAUCCAAGUUCUUACAAAACCAAAUAAUAUCAGCUAAAUUAAACUUUGUGCCAAGGUCAUUCAUCUCUCUCAUCAUUUUCCUUAUUUCGUCAGCUUUGUUCUCGUCACUAGAACAUCGAUGACUGACCGUCAUUCGGGAUAUUGUGUUAUUGGUCAAUGUCAUAAGCUCAGCUACAACAUCAACAGAUCCUCCUAUUUCAGCUUUGUUUUUGAUCAUUUUGAGAAAUGACCUUAUCUCUUCACGUCUAAUUGGAAGGAGCUUCUCUAAUGUCCGGGGACCAAGUACUUCAGACAUGCAAAGCUUCUUCAUCAACUUCCAACGUGGUCCAUACGGUGCGGUCGAAAAAUCAGACGUGCCAUAGGUAAGGUAAUCGAAGUUGGCCAUUUUAGGGCGGUCCAAAUAAGAUGUUUCAUUAGUUCUAAGGAAUUCUUCUGCUAUUUCCGGGGAUGAAACAACGACACAAUGUUUGGAGCCAAGGUAGAAGGAUACUAUUGGUCCAUAGCCGGUUGAGAGCUUGUGAAGACCUCGGUGUGGUAUAGGGCGAAGAAGGUGGAGAUGUCCGAUGAUCGGUAAGGCUGGAGGGCUAGGUGGCCGUCGGCCCUUUGCCCGAGUCUUCACAAAGAUGGCUAGGAACAAGAAAAUGGUUGCUAGGCAUAUUGUGACAAGUAUAGCAUGAUCUCCUAGAUCAGCCAUAGUUUGAACUUGUGAAAGAGAAAAGAACUGAUGCUAUGGAGCUAUUGCAGGGUGAUAAAGAAGGGAUGCUUAUACAUAAAUAAAGAUUGUGAAUUAUGAUCUUGGGAUUUUCUAUUAAAAUUGUAACCACCGGUGUAUAAUUACAAACAUAUAAGUAUAAAUUUAAUUAAAUCAGCACAAAUAAACGAUAUAUAAUAAUCAAAAUUUAUACACAACAAUUAUGUGUUUUUAAAGUAAACAAGAGAUAAUUGUUUAAACAUUUCUUUAUUUUUAGUUUUUAAUUUUAAAAGUUAUACGACAACACUCGAUUUCUUUAAAAUUUACAUUUUAAAUUUAGUUACAUAAGAUUUGACGUGUUAUUUAAUGAUUUCAAUAUCAAAAUGACUUGGUUGGCAUAACAACAAUAGUUUAAGAGUGUAAUAGAACGUUUUGAAGUUUGAAAAUGAAUUUAAAAUGAAGAUCAUAAUUUGAAAUAAACAAUAAUAAUUUAAAUUUUAAUAAAAUGGAAUUUAAUAAUUAAUAACAGCACCAUAGCUCUGCCCUAUGUCACUAGUUAAAUUACAAAAGUGUGAUAAUAAUUCAAAUAUGCUUUGAUAGGAACAUGAGUUGGGGCCUGGGGGCUACUAAUGUAUGUAGUGAGAGAGAUAUGUAUUGUAUUUAAUUAUUCUUGGAUUUAAAAUAGAGAAAUAAAAAACAAUAUAAUUAUUUCAUGCCAAUAUCUCUAAAAAUGUCGAAGUUGUUGAGUAGUUAUUAUUAUGGUUGUAACUUUAAAAGAAUAUGUAAAAGAGAAUUUGAAUAAUCAAAUACACGAAGUUGUUUACGCAAUUUACUUUAACAACUUACUUUUAUAAUACAUUGUUCAAUGAGAAAUCCAUUAAGAGUGAGAUUGGGUCAGUUCGAUUUUUUUAUUUUUUUUAAUUUUUUCGAACUAAAUCGGGGUAUUCGAUUUUUUCAUUUUCUGAAUUGAUGGACAUAUGAACUCGGUUAUUAUCGAACCGUAGUAAAUUGGUGGUUUGGUUCGGGUUUUGGGUUUUCAUAUUGCUUUUGGGCCUUGGACCUUUGAACUUAAAUUAGACAAAAUUAUCUUCGGUUUUGAACUUUUCUACUUUAAUUUGAUAAAAUUGUCUUUGUUUUAUGUUUCUUAGACUAUUUAAAAAUUUUAUUCUCAUUUUAUCUAAAAAUAAUCAUUUAUAAAAUUUAUAAUUAUAAAUAUUUAUUAAAAAUCUAAUUAAACAUUAAUUUAACCACUUAAUCUUCAGUAAACAUAAAAACUCCAAUAUAUUUCCUAACAAAACAUAAACAACUAAACCCAAAUAAAAAUGGUCACAAAUUUGUUAAACCAAGAUUUGUCAAUGAAUUGUGAAAUUAGUGCUCAAAAGAAUCAAGGGAACAAUGUGAAAUAAAGCAAAUGACUUUGGAAGAUUGAGGCUAAAUUAGAUUUAGGAGUUUUUUUAUUUAAUUAUAAAAUAUAAGCUAUAUUUAAGAUUUAGAAAUAAUUUGUUUUGUAUUGAGUUUUAGAUGGGUUUAUAUAUUAAAAAUUGAAUUUAAAAAAAUUAAUCAUUUUUUUGGAUUUUUUUUGGAGUUUAAUGGAAUAAACCAAAACUAAAUCAAAUUGAAUUGAAUGACAUCAUCUAACCAAAUUUGAACUGAACUAUAAAAAAAAACUCAAAUCAAAUCGAAUUGUUGGUUCAACUCGGUUACUUAAUUUGGUCGUUUUUUUUGUUCAGCCUUAAAAUCUACUAUAAAUUCUCAAAAAAGCUACGAUUUAAGCCCAACCAAUCUUAGAUUGUUGCAACUUACUCUCGUACAUGUACAAUAAAUUGAUAAAACAACUCUAUUAAUACAUGUAAUAACACUCAUGAAAUGUCCCUUAAAUGAAUUGAGCUUGUGCAUCAACGCUAAAUGAUACUUCAAUAUAAAGACUUUAUAAGUAUAACUUCAAAUCAACUUAAAAGGAUCAAACUCGAUCUUCAUAAUCAAUCUCAAUAUAUAAAAUAUCACACAUAUAAGGUAUCUUUAAAAUAAGAUAUAAAAUCAACCCUUUAAAGUAUAUCUCAAUCUCUUCAAAAGCAUAUCUCUAAAAAUAAAGAUUGUUAAUCCUUGAACAUUCUAGAAUUUAACAUAAUUUUAUUUCCUUUAAUAGGGUUUAAUAAUUAUAUCCUAAUUUUUUUAAAGGAAAAAUAUUUUAUUAAGUGAAAUGAAAGUGAAAGAAACCAGGCAUAGGAGGAUGUACUAAACCUCAAGCCAACACCAACAGGCCUUACCCCAUACAUUCCAAUCUAUUAUCCAACCUAUCCCCUAGACUAAAAGAAACUGAAUACAAAACAAAACUUAAACAAGGAAGGAUAUGAUCCCAAGUUGCAUGAUGUGUUUAUAACAAAGCUGCCCGAGCCAAAGAAUGAGCGACCUUAUUAGCACUUCAUCGAGUCUAAUGGAAGGACACUUCAUAACGUUGAUUUUUCAAAACAAUGCAAUCACCAAUAACCAUACCAAAUUCAGAUAGACUUACUAAGGAGCUUACCAAAGCAUUACAAAAUAUCAAGCUAUCUAGUUCAACAACAACCUUAUUUAGCUGCAACCUUUUAACCUAAGUCAAAGCCUUGGUAAUAUGUGGCUCCAAUAGCCCCGAUCUAUGGCCUGAAAUAGUUGUAACAAAAUGGCCAGUAUCAACUCCAAAAAUCACUGCAAAACUCAAAGCUUCUUUAGUCUGAAAGGUUGCGACAUCAGUAUUGCAUUUACACCACCCCAGUUUUGGAGGCAUCCAAACUAUACCAGCAUCUAUUCCCUGGUGUUCUUGGUAAGGAAGUCGACGGCUCUUGAAUCCUGUCAAUUCGGUAUGCAAUUUUAGACAUCGGUCAAAGCUAAUAACAUAAAAUAUACUAUUGGCACCAAAGAAACAUGUUGCGAUGGAACCAUAUUGAGGUUUAAAAUAGUAGUUAACUGUUAUAGUUAGUUGUUAACAGUUAAUUAGUUGAUAGUAGGUAUUGGUGUUAGUUAGCCUUGUAAAAACUCUAUAAAUACAGGAAGCUGGUUGUUCAGCUGAUUAUCUUUUCUGAAUAAAAAUUCAUUCUUUUUCUUGAAUCGAUGUUUUCUAUUAUGGUAUCUGAGCCAUAAAUAUAAAGAUUUUCUUUCUUUUUCAUGGCCACUGAAGCUGCUUCUGGUAAUAAAUUCAAGAAUCAUCAGUCGUUUAACAAUGAGGUUCCUGCAGAUGGUUCUUCCGGUCCUAGCAUCACUUCUUUAAGAAAGAUUCAACAGUUUUCUAAGCAUGAUACUGUAAAACUUGUUGAGCGUAAUUUUCUUUUGUGGAAGCAACAAAUUCUAUUAAUUCUUGAAGGUUAUGGCCUCCAUGAGUUUAUUCUUGGUACUGUUAGCAUUCCUCUACAGUCUGUUGCUGAUACAGAAGGUAAUCUUGUUCCCAAUCCUGACUUCUUGUUUCAUAAACAACAAGACAAGUUAUUAGCUUCUUGGCGUUUGUCCACCAUUUGUGAUGAGAUCUUGGUUCAUCGUACUAAUACUCAGUUUAGCUUUGAUAUUUGGAAUACUGUUAUACGUUGUUUUACUUCAAAGUCGAGCUUAACAGUUCUACCUUGCGUCACUCCUUGUACUAUAAAAAAGGGUCAGUUAAUUAUGAAGGAAUACUUGGCAAAGAUUAAAAGUUUGUGUGAUACACUUACAGCUGCAGGUAAUGAUGUUUCUGAACAAGAGUAGAUUAGUAUUAUUCUUGCUGGUCUGCCUGUGGAGUUUGAAUCUAUUAGGAUUGUAGCAUCUACAAUGAGGGUUCCUCUUGAUCUUCUUGCAGAAAUGCUCACUGAUUGUGAAGCUCGACAACAAGAGCUUCUUUUGAAUGUAUCUUUUCAGGCUAAUCUUGUUCAGCAGUAUGAAAAUACUGAUGACACUAUCAAUAAGAGUGAUAGGGGUGCUCGAACUUCUUACAGAGGCAAUGAAAGGUUUUCUCGAGGCUGAGGUCGAAGAAGGAAGUUUAGUCACACUAAACCCUAAUGUCAGUUAUGUGGAUGAGUUGGGCGUACUGUUCAGAAGUGCUAUUAUCGUUUUGAUGAGAAUUUUGAGGGUGUGCCUGACCAGUUUAUAUAGGCUCAUUGUCAUCAGUUUUAGGAGCCUUCAAUUUCUUCUUGUGCUCACUGCUGUUCUCAUGCGAGUGCUUCCCCUGAUGCUGUAGCUACUUCCAACAACAGGUCGUGUUCUUCGAACUCUUUAAAUUCAACUAUGUGGUAUCCCGAUUCAGGAGCAACCAAUCAUGUUACUAAUGAUUUGGAUAAUUUGAAGGGUGCUGCACCAUAUACAGGUAACCAUAAGCUUUACAUGGGAAAUAGGAUGUCAGUGCCUGUAGCUCAUAUUGGCUCAGGUUUUCUUCCAACUACUAGUAGAGUGUUUCAGUUGGAAAAUAUCUUACAUAUUCCUCGCAUUUGCAAAAAUCUAUUGUUUGUAGCUCAAUUUGCAAAAGAUAAUCAGGUUUACUUUGAAUUUCAUCCUCUGCAUUGUUUUGUGAAGGAUGUCAAGACAGGGAGCGUUUUAUUGGAGGGUCACAUGCAUAAUGGCCUGUACAAGUUUGAUAUGUCUGCUUUCCAAAAGUCCAGCACUGUUGGUUCCUCUCCUGCCACUGUUUAUGUUACUAGUCUGGUGCCUCCUGCUUUCAGUAAUAGUGUUUUUGAUUUGUGGCAUCAAAGACUUGGCCACCAUUGUAAUAGAACUGUUACUACAGUACUUAAAAAAUGUAAUAUAGUUGCAAAGAAAUCUUAGCUAAGCUCAAUAUGUUCUGUGUGCCAGCUUGGAAAAUAUCUUAAGCUCCCUUUUCCCCCCUCUACAACAGUGUAUUCAGCUCCUUUUGAGCUCAUUGUAGUUGAUCUUGGCGGCCAGCUUCUAUACCCUCUGAUAGACAUUCGUACUAUAUUUCGUUUGUUGAUGCUUACUCCAGAUUUACUUGGGUUUAUUUUCUUAAACAUAAGUCUGAGGCUCUUGUAAAGUUUCUACAUAUUAAAAAGUUUGCUAAAGUUCAAUUUGGUGGUGAGGUGAAGGUACUUCAAACUGACUAGGGAAAUAGUUUUGGCCCUUCUUGCCCGCAUACCUCGGAGCAGAAUGGCUUGGUUGAAAGAAAACAUAAACAUAUAGUGGAUGUUGGCCUAACUUUGUUGGCUCAAGCGAAUGUUCCCAUGCAUCUAUGGUCUCAUGCCUUUAUCAUUGAUGUUCACAUCAUUAACAGGCUACCAAUACCUGUUCUUAAUGGAAAGUCUCCAUAUGAGAUGUUGUACAAGUCUGUGCAUGCUUACAUGCACUUAAAAGUUUUUGGUUGUCGGUGUUAUCCUUAUCUCAGGCCAUUCAACUCUCAUAAGUUACAGUUUCGUUCCAAGCCAUGUGUUUUUCUUGGUUACAGUCCUAGUUACAAGGGGUACAAGUGCUUUGAUGAUAGUGGGAAGUUGUUUAUCUCUCGCUAUGUGACAUUUGAUGAGUCUUGUUUUACUUUUACGGAUUCUGUCAGCUCAGCUAGUAAUGCGAAUCUCCAUGGCUUUCGGCCUCAGUUUUUGUAUCAACAGUCGCAUGUUCCAGUAGUGAUGCCUACGAAUCAACCUUCAAAUCUGAGUUAUUCUACUCCACCUGGAACUGGUAAUUCUCCUGGUGUACAGUUUGGGUCUCUUGGUUUGUCUGUUUCAACUGCUGUAGAUAGCGAGAGUAGGUCUACAUCUUCUUCAUCACUUUCUCCUCAAACAGAAGUAGGUUCUGGUUCUCAUGUUAGUGCUCCAGUUGUUGAGGAAAUAUCUGUUCCUCCUAUCAAUGUGCAUCCAAUGCAAACUAGGGCUAAAAGUGGUAUUUUUAAACCUCAAUCCUGAACCUCUAACAAUUGAUGAAGCCUUCUCUUCUAAGGAGUGGACUCGAGCUGCUCAACAAGAGUAUGAUGGGUUAAUAAAGAACAAUACCUGGGAUUUGGUUCCCCUACCUGCCAAUAGGAGAGUUGUGGGGUGCAAGUGACUAUUCAAACUUAAGCGUCAUUCAGAUGGCUCUAUUGCUCGAUAUAAGGGUCGUUUGGUGGUAAAAGGAUAUCUCCAGGAAGCUGAAAUUGAUUUUUAUGAAACCUUUAGCCCAGUUGUGAAGCCAGUUACAAUUCGUGUUGGUCUAGCUUUGGCAGUGAAGUUUGGCUGGCAGUUAAGGCAAAUUGACAUAAAUAAUGCCUUCCUUAAUGGGGACUUAACUAAAGAGAUCUACAUGGUUCAACCUCCUGGUUUUGAGCAGUAACAUGGUAGCCAAAAUCUGGUAUGUAGGUUAAAGAAGGCGUAAUAUGGUAUUAAGCAGGCACCACGAGCCUGGUUUUCUAAACUUAGAGACUUCUUAAUUUCUUCUCAGUUUGUGUUAGCAAAGUCAGAUGGUUCAUUGUUUGUCAAGAAAGCUGGAGGCAUGUUGCUAUAUGUACUUGUCUAAGUUGAUGACAUAAUUGUCAUUGGUAGUCAUCAAAGCAGCAUUGAUGAAUUUGUUCUUGCUUUAGAUGCAAAGUUUUCUUUGAAGGAUUUAGGGUCCCUUAGUUAUUUCCUGGGUAUUGAAGUCCUGCCUACUACAAAUGGGUUAUUCUUGAGUCAACAAAAAUAUGUUCUUGACCUUUUGAAGAGAGCUCGAAUGGAUUAUGUGAAGGGUUCUCCUACGCCCAUGACUACUUCAACACAUUUGUCUCAGCAUGAAGGGAGUGCUAUUGAAAAUGGGUCUGAUUAUAGGAGCAUUGUAGGCGCACUUCAGUAUGUUUCUAUCACUCGGCCUGAUAUUACAUUUGUUGUAAAUAGAGUUUGUCAGUUCAUGCAUCAGCCUCUUGAUCAGCAUUUUAAGGCUGUCAAACGAAUUCUUCGAUACCUUCAAAAUACUGUAGAGUAUGGCCUUCAUUUUACUACUGCUGCCAACUUGGAUCUCGUUGGUUUUUCUGAUGCGAACUGGGGAACUGAUGUCGAUAAUAGGCGGUCUACUUCAGGGUUCUGUGUGUUUUUUGUGGUAAUCCUGUGGCCUGGGGAUCCAAGAAACAAUAGGUUGUCUCCCAAUCAACUGCAGAGGCUAGGUAUAAUGGACUUACUCAUGCGGUUACUGAGGCUGUGUGGCUCGAGUCUCUAUUGUCUGAGUUGCAUGUUGUUCCUUCUAAGAGAGCUAAGUGUGGUGCGAUAGUUCUAGGGCUGUUGCUAUGUCCGCCAAUCCAGUGUUGCAUUCAAAGUUGAAGCACGUGGAGUUGGAUUUGUUCUUUGUUAAAGAAAAAGUUACUGCUGGACAGUUGAUUGUGGGGCAUGUUCCAGCACAGGAUCAGGUAGCCGAUAUUUUCACAAAACCCUUGUCUGCUUCCAUGUUUACAAAUUUUUGGUCGAGUCUCAAGGUUGUUUCCUAACAAGAACCAGCAACAGAGGUCAAGUAGCUAGAGGCAUAUUAAGGUUUAAAAUAGUAGUUAACUGUUAUAGUUAGUUGUUAGCAGUUAGUUAGUUGAUAGCAGGUACUGGUGUUAGUUAGCCUUGUAAAAACUCUAUAAAUACAAUAAGCUGGUUGUCCAGCUGAUUAUCUUUUCUGAAUAAAAAUUCAUUCUUUUUCUUGAAUCGGUGUUUUCUAUUAAACCACAAGUACCACAAAUAAGUGAGCAGAUGAUGACUAAUCGAACCAUGCCUCCCCUCCAAACAAUCUUCAAUAAAGCUCACAACUGAGACAUUAUCGACCGUAACACCCAAAUCAUCCCACGCCUUCCGAGCCUCAAAACAAUAAAGUAAAACAUGAUCUAUUAUUUCAAUCUUACCACACCAGUAGCAAGUGUCGAUAUUCAAGCCUCACAUUGCUAAUAAAACCUUACAAGGGAUAAAAUUUCGCAGCAUCCUCCAACAUAAUUGCUUUACUUUUAGAGGCAGCACAUUACUCCAAACCGAAACUCAAUGCCCCUCGACUAUUUAAUUUGUGAUAUUUGUAAGCAUUUCAACAACAAAUCGAUACCCUGAUUUAACUUUGUAGGUACCAUUAUUUUCAAGAUGCCAUAUCCAUUUGUCAAGCGACUUACUCAUAUCGAUAGGGAUGCGUAAAAAUUUUUAAGCAUUAGUUGGCGCAAACAAUCCCCAAACCAAUUCAACAUCCUAAUCCUUCCCUUGAUCAUUUAAAAGAGCAUUAGCGAUGAGGUUUUCCAUGUUGGGAAAUGUGCCCAUAUUGGUAAAUAUUAAGUUAUUUUCUAUUUAUUUGAACGAUGAAUAAAAAAAUAAAGUUAAUUUUACUUUUUAAUAUUAUAUCUUUUGUGUUUCUGUCUUUCAUGUUUUUCAUAUAUAGUGAAAUUGUGACAAGAAAAUGUUACCUCAUUAAUUUUCUAAGUUCAAAUUGAUGAUAAGAUGCACUGUUAGAAUGUUUACAUUACGAGAAAGACAUCUUACUUUAGUAGAUAAUCUAAACAAGUCUGUAAUACUGUAAAAGAAUCAAAGUAAGCAUUUGAUUCAAAUACUCAGAAAGAUCAUUAUGUCAUCUAAAAUUCCAAUUAAGGAGAUGAAUAUUCUUGGCUAUCGAAGUAGUUGACUCCACGAGUAAAGACAUAAAUGUACUCAUUGGAAGGAUAAUAAAUUGUACUAGACCCAAGUUGAAUGAAUUCUGAAUCUGUUUAUGAAUUAAUUUAUUUGUGACGUUCAUGGUGUGACUUACCUAAAUCUUGAGUUAGCCACUGACCAUGCGUAUGUAACUCAUGUGUUUUGAUAUAAGUGGAGGCUUAUGCUUUAAAAAAUGAUCGAGUCAAUAGCCAAUUUGUUGGGUACAUGACUUAUGUAUGACAUGACUUUACUAGCAACAACGAAAAUCAAAGCUUGAUUAAAGAGUUAACGAUAUCCUCUUAUUAGCAUUGUGUGGAUUGAUAAAUAUGGAGCGUGGCCAUGGGUUGCUUAUUCUCGAACGAGCAAUUUAUCACAGUCAUUAGUUGACAAUGAUAAUAUUAAUCAUUAAGAAGACAUAAUGGUGACAAUAUGAUAAAAUAAAAUUGUAUUGAGUGAAUGUAUUUAACUCAAAGGAAUCAAGGUUAUCAUAUGAGGGUAACAUACACAUGGUAAGGUCAUUGGACAAAGUAGUUGGAUGAACUCAUUCACAUCCCAAAAAUCGAGUUAGUAAAAAUUGGGUUAGUGAACCGAGAGAGUGGUCACGCCUUGUUUUUAAAAAAAAAUAAAUGUUGUGAAAUUGUGUCAAGUGAUAUAGUUUAAUGGUUGAGUGUUGUGUUUGUGUGUGUGAGGUUUUGGGUUUGAAUCCUUUCCCUUGAACUUUUAGUAUUUUUAUUCCAACCCCUGACUUUGAAUAUUUAGCUUAUAUAGUAAUUUUGUUCAACUACCUAUUGGUCCAGUGGUAAGAUUUCAACUUACGAGGGGUCUCGUGUUUAAAUUCUGUGUGUGGAAGCUGAGAAUAUUUUUUCUAUUUCUUUACCUGUGCUGCCCAUAUGGUAGAAUUUGAGUUGAGUUUGAAUUCUAAUGGAAAUUUGAUAAGAGGAUAGUGUUUCAGUUUUAGUGGUGAUAUGGGUAGUUAUCUAAAAAAAAAAAACCUUUUUGAAAAUUAUUUUCCCAAAAAUCUUUUAGUCAUUCCAUUCUCUCAAUUUCUUAUCUUUUUUUUUGUCCCAUUUUGUUCAUUUUCUCUAUCACGUUUGUUUUUUCCCCUCUCCUUCUUUCUUUUCUUUUGUUAUAGUAAACCGACGAUAGUGUCGUUUUCCUUUGUUUUUCCUAAAAAUUCCUUUUAAUUUUUCCCUCAUUGCCUUCUUGAUUCUCGUUGCCAUCUUGCUCGGUGGUGUUGAUUGGUAACACCUCGUUGUGGUGUGGUCGAGUGUGUGUUAGAGGUCUAAUAAAUUCUUCUAAUUGGUGGAAGAAGGUUGUGUUUUAUAAGUUCGGAAAUUGAGUUGUUAUGUUGUUGAUUGAUGUUUUUGUUCGGUUCUGUUUAGGUAAAGAUUUGGUAACGAUUAACUUCCUAAGGCUGCAGCUUCUUUCAAGGGUAAGUGAUUAAAGCUUUUGAUUAGGGGUUGACUCAUUUUGUUAAGGCCAAAGGUUAGUGGUUGUGGCUGAAUUAGUAUCAUUGUUAAUUGUUCAUUCUUAAUGUUGUUCUUAGGUUCUGGAAUCUUCGUUGUGGUGUUAGCAUCAAAAAAUGGCCAGGUGUAUAAUGAUAAUCUCUAAAAACAAUGAACAGUGUAAAGCCAAAAAAUUUACUGUUGACGCCACACGAUCGUGUGGGCGACACGAGCUAAGUUAAGUAGGCCAUGUGGGCCACACGAGCAUGUGUGAAGCCGUGUGCCAGACCGUGUGGGCCAUAUGAGAUGGUCCAGUUAGGCCAUGUGGGUCACACAGGCGUGUGGGACCAUUUUCAAUAAAAUUUAGUUAGGGCUGUGUUUUGAUGUGCGGUUCAAGGUCAGUGAUUUCAUAGGUUUUGUUAAGUGAUAUGUAUAGUGUUUGUUUAAUGAAAAUUUUUGUUUUGAUAUGAUUGCAUAAAUUCUGAAGGUAUGUCACCUUAUAAAAUUUGGUUUUGAUAUGUAAAAUUGUGAGCAUCGUUAGUGUGAUUCUGAUUAGCUAAGUAUAUAUGUUUAUUGUUGAGUUAUGUUUGUUCCAGUUCUCAUGGCAUGUGACAUUGUGGCUAUUCUAAUUAAGGUGAUUUGUAAUUAUUGAAAUCUGACAUUUUUUUUUGCAAAGCAUAAAAUCUCAUGCCUAUCGAAUUCUAUUAAAUAUACGAUUGCAUGUUCAACAUGCUUAUUGUUCUGAUUCUGUAUUUGCAUGCCAUGUCACAUUGUAUAAGGCUGGGAUAAUAUGGUAAGUAGGAAGUUCUAGUAGUUUAAUGAUCUACACUAUCUGGUGGUUUAUCCAUGUAUCUAUUCUGGCAGCUUGUCUGCAAUUAUAGUGACACGACCACACAUCUGUUUUGGCAGCUUGACUGUAACAGCCCGAAUUUAGGGCUAGUCGGAAUAGUGGUUUCGGGACCACAAAUUUGAGGAGAAAAAAUUUAUUUUCAUUAUAUUUUUAUGGUCUACGAUUUCACAAAAUGAUUUCAUGAAAAUUUCGUUCGAAAAUUUUGACGUUUGGGCACUCAAUUUAGUCAAAAUGACUAAAUUGUAAAAAGUGUAAAAUUUGAGUUCUAUAUGUUAGAGGUGUCCAAUUGUUAUGAAAUUUUAAAUUGGAGAUCUUUAUAUGGCAAUUAGACCAUUGGUUAAGUUGGUGGACAAAAAUGGGUAUGGUUAGGCAUGUUUCCAAAGUUUUUCAUUAAUGGCAUUUUGGUCAUUUAGUUAUUAAAAUGAAUUAAAAACAAAAUUAAAAGCCAUUUUUUCUCUAUUUUCAACCCCUAGACCAAAAAUUUCUUCAAGCUUCCAAGCUCGAUUGUAAGUCCGUUCUAUCCCGAUUUUUAAUGAUUUUUACGUUUUUGAAAUCCUCAUAACAAGAUUUACCUAUUUUUACCAUUGUUUUGAACUAGGGUUUGUGUUUAAAAAUUUACCCAUGAAUGAUAUGCAUGUAUUUUGAUGUUUUAUGGAAGAAUAUGAAUGUUUGGAGUGUGAUAAAUGAUUUGUACUAAGAAUUUUUCGAUGAAAAUGCCUAAAAGGAUUAAUUUGUAAAAGUUAUAAAAAUAUGUCACAAGUGUGUGAAUAAGUGAGUAUCGUGGACUGCUAUAGUUAUGAAAAUGGUUCAUCUAGGCCUAAAAUGCAAGGAAAUUGAAUAAAAAUUAUUUUACGAGCCUAGGGGCAAAAUUGUAAUUUUGUGAAACUUUAGGGGCAAAAAUAUAAUUUUUCCAAAGUAUGAUUUUUGGAUUGGAAUGAAUAGUGUGAAGGUUAUAUAAGUUAAAUGUAUUGUUAUAAAUCAAGAAAGACGAGAAAUUGAAAUUGAUCGAUAAAAUGAAAAGUGAGAAAAAGUGAAAAAUUCUUGAAUGAACCUUUGGAAUAAAAAGGGAUACAAAUGAAGUGACAGAAAUGAUCACAUGUGUGGCACAGAUUGUGUGUAGGCCACUAUGUAAAAGUGAAAGUGAUGGUCACGUGUGUAGUACUAUGUGCAGGCUACUACAUGUACCGGAAUGAUAGGUCGCAUGUGUAGUACUAUGUGCAGGCUACUAUGCAUACCGGAUAGUUUCGAUCACGUGUGUAGUACUAUGUGCAGGCUACUACGUGUAUUGGAUGGUAAUGGUUACAUGUAUAGUACUAUGUGCAGGCUACUAUGUGAACCGAACAUCAUUGAUUAAUAAGGUGGUUGCUAUGUGCUGAAUCCACCGAGUAUCUCUUAUUAUUCCGAAGUGUUCGUCAGGAAAUUGACUAAGUGUAAUUGAAUAAUGAAUAUAGGUGUGAAAUUGAAUUGAAUAUCGACUUAGAAAUGAAAAAGUGAAUUUUGAAUUGAAUUGUGAUUGAAAGUGAAAAUGUGAAAUUAUGAAUAGAGUACAUUUAGCAAUAAAACAAUUUAGACAGCAACAGUUGUGCGACUUUGAAAAAUCACCAAAAAUGGUGGAGAUUGUAUUAGAGGCUGAAUAAUAUAUGAACUUGAAGCUGAAUGAGUCUAUUUUCACAUAAAAGAAACAGAGCAAGCAAAAAAGUUAUAUAUUUUGAGAUAUUUUAAGUUCAGUUAGACAGAGUCCGAAUGAGUUUGGAAUCCCCUAUUCUGAAUUUGGAAAAUUGUAAAAAAAUGUAAAAAAAUAAUUAUGGGAUACAGUUUAUAUGUUUAGAAUCCUCAGGAAUCUAUUUUCAAGAGAAACAAAUAGAAACAAUAUCCAAAUUCUGUAUAAUGAGAUAAUUAAUUUUUAGUGAAGAGAGGCAAAACUGUAGAGCAGUGAAACAGGGGAAAUUUAAAGAAUAAACUGUACUAUUUGGGUAAACAAAAAAUUCUAAAAAUUUUAUGGUAAGAAAAUAUGUGAAUCUAGGUUUAGGGAAAAUUUACAGAUCUUAAUUUGGAGUUCUGUAGCUCCGAGUAAAAAUAAUUUAGUGACUCUGACUUGAAUAGAAAACUUUGAAUAUACAUGUGAGUGAAUAGUAAAAUUGUAGUUAAUGUUGUUUAAGUGUGUUAUACACAUUAAUGAUGUGGAAUGGAGAGGAGGAAGAGGAAAAUUGGAAGAACAUAUGAAUGAUUUGUGUAAAAUUGGCCAUAUGCUCGAUUAUAAUCGAUAAACGAUUGAAAAAAAAUAUGUUUAUAAUUGUGCAUUAUUAGUUAUAGUUAAAGUUCAUGUGAGAAAAUAAAGUUUCAUAGUAUGUGUAUGUGGUAUACUUGGUAUAUGAUUUGAUAUGUAGCAAUAUCAUAAAUGGUUUAUGAAUUAACUCAUGUUGAUAAGUUUGAUACAUAAAUAAAUAUGGUGCUUAUCCAUGCUUAUAAUGCUUAUACUAUAUAUUUAUUUGGCUAGCAUGUUUGGUGUGUAUGCUUAGGCUUUGGCCAAGUUGUGGCUGGAUUGCGCCACAUUAAAUUUAUAAAAUUAUGCAUUGAGAUGGUAAAUGUUUAGAUGGAAAUAUGCUUGUGAUCAUAAAAGGGUGGUAAGGUUUAAAGUUUGUAAUCUUUAUUAAAAUGGUUUAUCAUGUGGUUAGUCUUCAAAAAGACUAGCUUGCGACUAUGGUUGAGUGUAAUGUUUAUAUCUUGUGUAAUAUGCAUAAGAAAUGGGAGUGGAAAGAAAAUGAAAUACUAGGUUCAUGCUUGAAGUGUAAAAUGAUGCAAAGAGGGGACGUUAAGUUAAACGAUAAAUAUGCAAAUUAAAUGGAAAUUGCAAAUGAUAUGAUGUGAAUUAAAUGAAUUAUUGUGGUACUGAAAUGUAUAUUGGAUUGAGAAAUUGAAUUGAAUCGUGAACAUGAGAAUCGUGAAUUAAAUGAAAUGGAAAUGAAGUAUUGAAUUGCAUGAGUAUGUAUUGGGUCUCAAAAACCCUAUUUGUUACAAAUAUAGUAUUUUGAAGUUAUAACGUGAAGAUUUAUAAAAGCCUAUUAAAAAUUUGAAGAGUUUAAAUUUGAAUGAAAUUUUAUAACUCGGUUUAACAUGUUUAUAAGUGUAUAUGUUUUGGUCAAGCCUCGUACCCUAUUCUGGCGUCGAAUACGGGUAAGGGGUGUUAUAAUGCGACAUCGCCAGAUUCGGCCAUAACAUUUAUGCUGGGUUUGGGGUGUUACAUUGACUGCAAUAUAGUGGAUUAACCACAUAUAUCUGAUUUGGUAGUUUAACUGCAACUCUGGUGGCAUUGUGCACAAUUAUCCGUUGGUGUGCUUUUGGAUGGAUGAGUUUUGAGGAACUCUAUUUGAUGUGUAACGGAGUUGGGUAGGAAGUUUUCUGAAAUAUCUGCAUUAUGUUUUUUUUUUAAAUACUGCAUUGACAUAACCAUGCAUGCACAAUUUUCCCCAUUUGAAUUUGAUGAAAUUCUAUGCAAUGUUUUGAUUUGUUUAUUAUGUUAUUUGUGUUUCUGUUUGAGUUAAAGUUACACACCAAGCUUUAUAGUUUACCCCUUUUCAUUUCCCCAUUUCAGGUAAUCAACAGAAUUAGGAAUGGGUGACAUUUAGGAACUUGCAUCGAUUUUCUCGUAUAAAAUGGUUUGAAUUAUUAAUAAUUAAAAUUUUUGGACUUUUAGUUUUUGGACUAAUUUUUGGAUUAAUUUUGGUUUCGGGUUUUCUGUGUGGAGGUUUUUGUUAUUUAGUUAAAGGUUUCUACAUGAUUUCUGUCAAUUAAAAUAAAUGCUUGGUUUUUCAAAAUUAAACAAUCUAAAUAUUUUUCCGCUGCAAAAAUUAAGUAUAAAAUUGAGAGUUUUUUUGUAAAAUAAAUAAUUUUUGCGUGUGAUUUUGUAAAGAAAAAUAUAUAAGAGUAUUUGCAAAAAUAAUAUUUUCAGAUCAUACGAUUUUCAAAGCUAGUUUUUAGUUUGAGUUUUCAAACGAGAAGCGUAAUACCUCAAGAUUUGGCCAUAACGACUAGGCCGGGUGUGGGGUGUUACAAAUUGCUUUGGCAAAAAGUAUAUAAUAAGGUGUUUUCAAUCAUGGUACUUCUUGUGGACUGAAUCCAUGAUUAAGUAAAUUGCAAAUUAUCAGAAUGAUACUUUUGGAUGUAAUUGUACUUAUUCGAGCCAGACUGUAUUUGAAUGAGAAGAAAAUUCUACGAUUUUGGAAAUAGUUUAAUUAAAUUGAUUUAUUCGAUGUGAAAUUAAAUUAGAUGGUAGUGAGAAUUGUUCAAAUAAAGAAUUUGAUUAAUAAAUUUUCUGAAAAAAAUAAAUUUGAAAUUUCUUAGUGAUUUUAGGAAAAAUUAAGUUUGAUUAAGUAAAAUUAAAAUAAUCAAAUUAAUUAAAAUAAAUAUGAUAUUUUUGAAAAUUAAUUUUAAAGUCAGAAAAUUAGCCCAGUGGGUAAUUGAACUUGAAAACUAGAGACGAGAUUGAAAAUUGAACCCGAUAACCAAAACUCGAGACUAAAACUCAAAAACUGGUUGAACCGAUGGUCCAACUGGUGGCUGGACUAGAUUAGUCAGCCCAUUAUUAUCCUAGGCCCAUUUAGGAAAAAUGACGACAGUUCAGGGUGCUAGGGGAGUCACGUCAACAAUGGCACCGUCGGACAUGCCGACGAUCUAGCGAUCAACAGAUGGUCGACAGCGGCGAUUUUUCGAUGGUAAAGUAGUGGAAAAAUUAGACUCCUAGUGGGACUCUACUAGGUAACUUGAUUUCAAAUUAACUUUUCUAAAGAUAAUAUUUUAUUAAUUUAAUAUUAAUGUGAUUAGUUUUAAUCCUAGUUGAAAUUUCUAUAAACUCUCUCUAUAUAAAGAAAGCAUGAGUCAUUAUUCUCAUACACUUGAAUUCAAGAAAAGUUGCAGAAAGAAAUUAUUUUGUAAAAAUUUUUCUGAUUCUAAGCGAGCCCACACUCGACGGACAUGAGGUUGGGGAUAACGAAGAAGACUACUCGGUCGAAGCAUUUAUCCUAGACAAAUCAUAAAGGUAUGAUUUUGAUCAAGUGUUUAUUACUUUAGAUAAUACAACCAAGUUUUAUUUUUGAAAAAAAAUUUAAAAUUCUGGUUUUCCCUUAAACCUAUUUUCUGCUGCAUUUUUCGAACCCGAUUUUCCAACAUUUUGUACCAUUAAAAGGGCCAGAGGUAACAUAAAAAGUAUUUUCAUUACAAAGCCGAGGAUCUUGAUAGACAUGAAUUGAUUCCCUGUUUCCAAAACUCCACCGCACCCCUCUACAUAAUAGUUGUUUAGACUUGUACAAGCUCUUCCACACAUAACUUAGGUUAGUACCGUUAAUCGAAUCAAAGAGUCUACAAGUAGGGAAAUAGCAAGCCUUAAAUAUUUGGCUAACAAGAGAAUCCAGAGAAGAGAAGAGUUGCCAACUUUGUUUACAUAGCAUAUCAAGAUUAAAAUAAUAGAGAUUGCGAAAACCUAUACCACUGAGCUUCUUUGGCAUGCAUAGUAUUUCCCUACAAGCCUAAUGGAUCUUCUAGCAUUCUCCUUCGAAACCCACCAAUGUAAGUUCAUCAUGAACUGAAGAUCCUUACGAAGCCCCUUUGGCACCAAAACACACUCAAAGCAAUAAUUGGAAAAGUCGAAGACACAUUUUUUAUGACAAGCUCUUGGCUAACUUCGAAAAGGAACCUGUUUCUCUAGCAAGAGAGUCGAGUCUUCAAUCUCUCCUUGAAAAAAUAGAAAACACUCUUCUUAUUACGGCCAAUAAGUGAGGGCAAUUUGAGAUAACGACCAUGAUCAAAAGGUGUAAUUGUCCAAUUUUCAGUGGUACCAAAAAAUGUAGUUUCAGAACCCUAUUUCCUGCAAAUUGAGCCUGUAAAUAUUAACUAUGAAUAUUUAUAAAGAUAAUAUAAAAAUAUAUUAAAUAUUGGUUGAGUAAUUUUGCCGAAUUAAUUGUUAAUUAAGACUUAGGGACUAAAUUGUAAAGUUCAAUCGCUAUUAGUUAUUAAUUUACAAAAGAAUUAAGUAUUGAAAUAGAAAUUAAACGAAGGUCUUAAAAUGAUAAUUAAACCAAUAUUUAGUGAAUGUUAGUGGGAGAUGAUGGACAUCUCCCCUAAUUCAAGUUAAAAUGUAAUUAUGUUAAUUAAUUAAGAAAUAUUAAGUUAAUUAAGCAUUAAUUAUCAUGGCUAAUUCUUCAUACGAAGGAAAACACAAAAAAAUCCUUUUAAGAUUUUGACAUUCGACCAAGCAAAUUAGUAUGUAAUUCAGGUCCUUUUCGUAUAACUUUUAUAAUUUUGAAGUCGUGGGAGCUUUGAUUUAGCUAGCUUAUGUACCAAUUCAUAAAGCUAUUAAAGUAUUUUAAAGUUUCCAUUAUUGAUUUUUUGAAGAAUUAGGCUUGAAAUUAAUAGGUUUUAAGCUUAGAUUAUGAAAAUGACUAGAUUGUAAAGUUAAUUUAGUUUAAUUGUUAACUUUGUUACAUUAAGGACCAAACUAAAUAAAAGUAAAAUUUGUCAUGAAAUUAUGUUAGAAAUAGAAAGUGUAAGGUCUUUAAUAAAAGUAUGUGAAAUCAGAUUUUAAUCCAAAGCUAAAAAUUUAAAGUUAUACUUAUCCCGAGUUCAAGGACUAAAUUGAAUAAAAUGUAAAAUACUAGAAAUUUUGAAUAAUGGAAUGAUAUAGGAUCAUGCAUACCAUGGUAUAUGUGAAAAUAUUUGGUAUUGAUUGGUUAUAUAAAAUAAUUGUAUAGAUCAAGAUUUGGAUCAAAUUGGAGCUAAUAGGGGAAAAGUUAAAAUUGUGGAUUAAUCCCUAAAGCAUUCAAUCUUUUCACAUUUUAAACAAGUUCAUAUGGAACAUACUAUUUCACUUUUUAUUAUAAUUGUAUGCUUGCAUUUAAUUUAAUAUAUGAAUGUUUCUAUAUGGCUGCAAUAUUAUGGAAUUUGGCACGUUUAGCUAGUAAUGUAUUGAAUUGAAAUAGUGUGUGGUGAUUGAUGAUUAUGAAAUAGUACAAGGUACAAAUUUGAAAAUACGAAUGAUGACAUGAUAUAGAAUAAAAGAUGUUACCUUUUUUAUAGGGUGUCAUAUGCAAAUGUAAACGAUUACAGGGAUUAUAUUAAAAUAUGUGAAAAUUGGUGCCCGUGUGAACUUAGUAAAGGUUAGGAUAUGAUUAGCAUGUCAAUAGGGUCUUGUGUGCACUUGCACGAGAUUUAUUGCAGAUGCUAAUGAGAUCCAGCAUUUGUUGCGAAUUCUCAAGUAUUAUAUGACACAAGUUUAGCUCAGACGAGUAAUCUGAUGUGUCGUUAUAAAUGUUUAGCCCAGACGGGUAACCUGAUGUAUAUAUAUACUUAGCUCAGAUGAGCAACUAGUGUGGUGUAGUUUACUCUUGUAUCUGUGUCUACUUACUUGGGUUCAUCGGUGAAACGUUAUAAAUGAAAUUGAAAUUUUAAAAAUGUGAUGAAAUGGACUUGAUAACCAAAUUAAAAUGUUAUUGAAGGGAUUGAAUUGUAAUGGUAUAUUCUUAUGAUUGUUGAUGGCAAAGGUGAUUGAAUUGAAUUAUGUUUACUUGGUAUAAUCUUAUGAUCUGUUGAUUGAAUAUGCUAUUUUGAUAAGUUAUAUGAAAAUAACAUGAAUUUUGAAUGUUAAUUUACAUGUAAUACUUAAUGAUCAUGUUAUAGAUAUUUGCUCACCUUGUUUAUGUUUUGAGUGUCAUGUUCUAGCCAAACUUUUGUCAAACUAAUUUAGUUUUAAUGCUUAUUGUAAAAACAAGGCAAGCUUAGUACUUUCCAUUUGAACUUACUAAGCAUUUUAAAUGUUUACUCCUAUUGUGUCCUUCCCUUGUAGAUCGUUGCCUUACAGAACUAGUUGACUUAGAUCAACGCAAAGCUCACACUAUCAAAAGAUGAUAGAAUUAUGUCCAUUUUGAGUCUAAUGUUGUGGCAUGUAUAUAAGGGCACUUGUUGUGCAUAUAGUCAACUUUGAGUGGAUAAUUAUGUAGUAUAUUUAAGUAUAUUUGAACUUGAGUAUUAAACUUGGCAUGUGGUCUAUUAAUGCAUGGUUUGGACUUGUUUAAUGUUAGUAUAUGAGUGAUUAUGCACUUGUAAGAAAUUGAGAUGCUAAAUGCUACAUAAAUGGAUUAGUUGAAUAAGUCAAGUUGAUGAAUGACUUAGGGUUUCUAUAAUUGAAUGUUAAGCAUGAUGUAUAAGUUAGGUUAUGUACGGUUUAGCUCAAAUUGUGGACAUAUAUGUUCCUAGUUUAAAAAAGGGCUUAGUUAGAAAUGAAUUUGAAUUUAAAAAAAGUACUUUGGUAUGAUAAAUAUUGAGCAUAUAACUUGGAUAAGUUUAGUUGAUGUUCUUGUAAAAUGUAUCAUGUUAAAGGUUGAUUUCAAAUGUUAAUGUUCUUGAUUUGUUAUGUUUUGACAUGGGUUGUGGUUGGUUUAAAUUGAGAAAGAUAUCAUGUAAGCAUUAAGGUAUUUUUUGGAGGCUUGAAAUAGGUACAAAAUGUGCAUUUUACCAAAAAUAGGGGUGACGUUGCAACUACGAGGCCCCAACUCCGCAACAUCGUCCGAUAGUGAGUGAUGUCGUGACAUGAAUAUUCAUGUCAUCACGACAUAACUCACUAAUUUGAUGAUGUUGUGAAGAGAAAUUUAUGAAGUUGCGACCUCGGCCUGGGAUUUUGAAAACUUUAGAAUUUGAUCCUAAUUUAUGCUCGGGUUAGUAAAAAAGCUUUCGUAAGCUCGUGUGGGAUCCAAAAUUAACUGUUUAGCAUAGAAUAAAUGUGAAAUACAUUAAUUAGUUUUUUUUGAAUGGUUGUAUGGUGAAUUUGUGAUUAUAAUUACUCAGAAAAUGGUUGUAAAAUCUCAUAGCUUGAACUUGACGAUCAGGUCGAGUAUAGGGUGUUACAAAAGGUGCAUUCACUCCCAAUAAAGUUUUAAUACUAGCGACAAGAUGAGGCACCAUAUUAGGACUGAAAAAGAUCCCAAGUUUCUAAUAAUUGUUCGCUUGGUUAGACAAUCACUCAUAAACAUUUAGAAUAGAUUUAUCCUUCUAACUCUCAUCCAUCGUAGCGUAAAAGAAAAAAAACUGUCAUAAACGAAAAAUAGGUGUGACACUCAAUGAGCUCUUCUACACACCGCAACCUAUGUAUACUCUCACUUUCCUCAACUUUUUGAAACAAACUAAACAACCUUUCAACAUAAAUAAUAAACAAAUAUGGCAAGAGCGUACUGCUUUGUCGCAACCCAACGAUACUCAGCACCCCCCAUUUUAUCAUUAAGAGAAAUUAAAUUAUUGAAGUCUCUGAUAUAAUCCCGAUGGUGCUCAUUUAAACCAACCAAAUAACGUAACAAGCUCUACAAAGCUCUUUUCCUACUAAACUAGAAACCCAUAGAAAUCGGUUAAUCUCCACCGGGGGCAACCUACUACAUCCACAAGCAUAUCAACAUAAUUAGAUGAAUAACUCAAAAUAGAAACAUCCACCAUACGCUUACAAAGUACAACUAAACCACCACUUCUACGUACUCUAUCAUAAAAUAAGAAUCAUACUUGAACCAAACACAAAGCUCUUCCAUUCUACUAGCAUCCACCAUUUCCAUCAAAAAACCAAUAUUGGGUUUAUUCGAAUUUAACAACUCAAUGUGAGCUAACACUGCUCAAGGAUUCCCCAAACCUCGACAGUUCCAACUUAGGCUAUUCAUUGUUGCCGGUUGACUUGCUAAACAAGUCCAUCUGUAACCAAGUUUGUAGAAGAAUGAAGAGGGACCGAAGAAGAAAUGACUCUACCACACAACUUUUUGUCGGUAAAAGACCUGUUUCAAUAUGAGGAUGUUUCUUAAUGAAAUUUGUAUCCAUAACCACUUUUUCAUUUUCAUGCAUACUGUUCUUAGGAUUCUUUAUGGACCCCAAAGAGAACUAAUAGUUAUAACCACAUUUGAAUUAACCUAACCCCUUUAGUAGUAGUAGUUGAAUUAACCUGAAAUUAUUUUGAAAAGAAAUCAAACCGAUUCUCAAUCCUUAAAUUACGCCCGCUAGUACAUACAACAUUCUUUCUUUCUUGAAAAAUCGCCCCUAAUCUAACAGUGGACUCUUGUUGCAUCUCACAACACCAAGGGACCAAUUAUUUUCGUGACACAAUUCUCGUUUCUACCUGGAUUCUUUUAAGCCACUCAUAGACAACAUUCUCUUCCCCGAUCUAUAUAAGCACAUAAAAAGAAAACUAGAGGGAUAUGUUCAUAACUAAAACUGACCUGGAAGAAAUCAUCACCUUGCUUAAGAAUCUUCUUCCAAUGCAAAAAAGGUUGUUGAACAUCCAAACGAACCCACAACUGUAUAUACAUAUUCCAUCCACCUCUACCCGCCGACGUAUCAUAAUCUAGGAAAGACCUCAUGCUAUUCCCCAGCCUCUUUGUCAAUGAUUCCAAUGUAAACCCCAGGGUAGGUCAUGCACCGAAACCCAAAAAUCUGUAAAAUAGAAAUUGACAUCCUCCGGAUUCCUUCUCUUUUUCAACUGAUGAAUAAGAAAAACAAAAUUAUUAAAAGUCCAAGGUCCCCCACAAGCCAUUCUUUUCAAGUUGACUUUAUGAAAAAAUUGAAACAAAUAAAGAUUUUCACCUAAAGGUCGAACAUGGGCACAUUGGAUCGACCUUUAAAUAUUAAGGAGAGUAUGCUCUAUUGCAUUAAAAUUUAUCAUUCGUUCACCCAAAAUUUUUCCUACCACACAGAGGUCAUAAUCAGUAUCAAUAUUAAAAAUUUCCUUUGCUUGCAUAACCAACUCGUCUUCUUCAUUAUCUUUAAUUGAAAGGUUUUGAAACUUAGGAUCCAUACCUAAAAUCAAACAGAUACUUGACAGAGUAAUAUGAAACACAUGCACAAAGUAAGAUGACAAAACUUGCACUUUACAAACCCUAAAACAAUAAAAUCCUUAUAGGGAGGCGCGAGAGAAAAAAGGCAAGGCGUGAGAAGCAAGACUAAAUAUAUACGAAUAAAUUAUUAUCCUAAAUUUGUUACACUAUUACAAAUAUAAAACAUGUAAAAAAUAGUUAAUUUAAAAAUGCAACUUUGUAGCCAACAACCUUUUGACCUAGUGACAAGAGUACUCUGUUGUAAGCAUGAUAGCUUGUUUUUUAUCUCAAGGAACCCCAUUCCCCUCCCCUAAUUAUAAAAAAAUGCAACUUUGUAAAUACUUGUUGUAAUGUUUUUGAAAAUUGAUCCAUUUGAAGCAACUUAUCUUAAAGAUUGGAUCAGAUCAGAUCAGAUCGAAUUGAAUCAAGCAAUCAGAUCCUUUGAAAUUAGGAAAUUGGAUCGAUACUACAUUAAAGACGUAUCCUUAAUAUCUCCUCAGUAUCUUGGACUUUAUUAAUAUAUUGUAUAUGUUGUUUUAGUAGCUUUUUAGUAGGGAAGAUUGAUUAGAAAGUGAUCUAGUAUGUUAGUAAGUUGAAACUAGUAUAUAUGCUUGAGACUUGUAUAGGUUUUGUAUCGAGAGUUUUAGAACUUAUAUGUUCACUAAGGAACUUGUUGGUAAAAAAGGCGUUGCUAAGAACACAAACAAAUUGGUGCAUAAGUUGGUGGACACUUUUCUAGACACUAAAUGAGAAAACAGAAAACAUACAAAACACAAAAAGAUGAUUACAUAGUUUGGUUUCCCUACAUAUACGGGCUCUGUAAGAAAUAUGCACUCUCUUCAACAAUUACAAAGUGAACAUACCCAAUCACAUACACCGUGAUUGUUUCCCUCACCCUUGCACUUUGAAGAUACAAUACUCUCACCACUAUGAACACCCCUGUGAUCACAACAAGUAAAACCACACCAACAUGUUUUACUUUAAAAAUAUCACUCUUGUAAAAAUAUUCUGACAAGAACAAAUUAAGUGCCUAAUAAUUAAUACAUUUUCCUAUGCAAGUCUCUUAAAUAUAUAGACAUGAUUUCGAGACUUGCUUACAAUAGAAUAUGUAAUACAAUCCCAAUAAAAUAGUAAUUCCAUCAAUAGUAAUACAAUAUGCUAACAACAUACAUGAUAGUUAUAAAAUCUUGACAGCUCAACAUCAGAAUCAUGAUUCAAUCUAAAGUCCAUAAUCCAAAGGAUUGCUUUGAGGAAUUUUGAUCCAAAUCAAUUACCAAUAUUUGUAUUCCAUAGCAACAUGAUCUUUCAUAAUGAGCUAGAUAUUCACCAAGUAAUCAGCAUAGCCUAAAUAUAAGGUUCAAUAAAUUGCCAACACCUAACUAUGGAAAUUGCUUCCAUAAAGAUUUGGUGGGCAAAGAAGUAGGCACUUCCUUUGGCACCAAAUUGCCAAUUUCAUAUUUUUCAAUUGAACUUAUAAUUGUGAGUGCAUUCAAAGUGUAAACAAGUGUUUUACUUAAUUUACAACCUAUGUUUUCAGAGAGGAACUUAGAGAAGAGUGAUCUAGAUUUUUAGAUACAAAGGUGAGGUUGUUAAACCGGUGUGUGUUAAGACUUAAAUCAAUUGUAUAAGGUUGAAAGAUAGCGGAUUAUCUCUCUAAAUAAGGACCCAAAGACGUAGGGAAACUGAACUUUAUAAGCAACUCACUUGUAUUCUUCAUUGUUUAUCUCAAUUACACUCACAAUGCCCACUACUCUUAUCAAUGCCUACUUCUUCUUAUUUUUGAUAUAAAGCCUAGAACUACCCAUAACCCUUCUCCAACAUUAAAUAAGAGAAUAAACACUGCUUACUUUGUUCUUACAAUCAUUGAUUUAUCUCUUCAAAUGUAUUAAUAUAUUUUUUAUUUAAAAUAAAUACAAUUUAUAAAUACAUUAAUUGUGUGUUAGUUAACAAUAAACUAACUAUUUUUCAUAAUAAAUAUUAUUGGAAAUAUUAAAAUUAAUAAAACUUGUAUUUUAUUUGAUGAGGUUGAUUUUGAUAAUUAUUAUAGCAUUCUUAAUAAAAUAUUUAUUGAACUAAACAUAUCAAUUUAACUUGUUCAAUAUUUUAAUUAGUACAUUUUUAUGUAUGCCAAAUAUUAUAAUGUUAUUGCUUAUCAUUCACGUCAUUAAAAUUAUAAAAAAUAUAUAUUUCAUUAAAAUUAUAAUUUGAAAAAUUACUAAUUAAUAUAGAGAGAUGAUAGAUGAUAUAUUGCAUUAAUUAUUACAUAAAAAUUAGGUUUAUGUGAGGGGACCAAAUUAUGAUAUUAAUUAGCUACAUUACUUAAAUAUAUAUAAGAAGAAAAAAUUGAUAUUGAAUUAUUAAUUUCAUUGAAUUUUUACUACUUUAAAAUUUAUUUAUUUCUUAUUAGUUAUACUUUCAUGUCAUACAUGGUCCCCUUAUAUGGUUAUAUACUUAUAUUUAAUUAUUUAGAUAAUUUGAUAAUCUUUGGUAUAAUAACUCUCAAUACUCUCUUUGUUGUGACAAUUUUUUUAUUUGGUCUAGAUUGUUGUGAUAAUCUUUUAUAUACACACUUUCUUGGCUAAGCGAAUUAUAGUAUAUAAAAAAUUACUAAAAUUAAUAUCCAAUAAAUUUAAAUUUGAAUACUAGUAUAUGUAUUUUUUUCUUAAUCUUAGACCAGGUUUAUCAUUUUAUACCAAAAUAUUAAAAGCAAGCACGAAAUAAGUUGAAAACAACUGACAAGCCAACAUGAAGUUAAAUAUGUGAAGUGUCAUCUGUCGAGUAGUGGACUUGAUCCCCAACAAUCAAAGGUAUUGUCCCAGUAUCAAGAUUUUGUCUCCCAUGCUUUCCUAAGAGCCAACGUGCCGUGAGUGGCUAUCUGGAGGGUUUGGUUCACAGGGUCGAGAGUGUCUCAUUUAGUAGUUGCCGAGAGCCAGCAUAUCGUGAGCGGCUGCUCAAAGGGCUUAGUUCACAAAGCCGAGAGUGCCUUAGUUGGUUGUACCUGUAAGACUUAGGAGUGGUGUUAGUAUUAUGCAUGAGAAUAAUUAUGAAGUUACUUGAGAGCAGGACAACUUGAACCACCAACCUGAGGCUUAUAGCCCACUUACCUACAACCAUGGUAUCACUUGGGCUACGUAACUUCAUAGAUGUUCUCAUGCACAAUGCUAACAACUCUCCCAACUCUUGCAAGUGCCACCAACCAAGGCACUCUCAACUCUGUGACCCAAGCUCUCUGGGUAGCUGCUCACGGCACGUGGUUCUCAGCAGAACACAAAAAAUAAAAUUCCAACAUGGAAACAAUACUUUUAAUUAUUGGGAUUCAACCCAUUACUUAAUAAAUAACAAUUUAAAAACUUCUCUAAAAAUUAAACCAAACUCAUUCACCAUGACACUUUGGAAGUAUCUAAUGAUUGUAGUCAGUAUAUGCGAUUGGCUACAAGCUUUUGGAGUUCCAAAAUAAUUGUGGAAAAAGUUAUUUAAAUCCUAAGGUCAUUAUACCAUAGCUUUUUUCUUUAAAAAAAAUCCUAUGUUAGCAUCAUCUUUAAAAGUGGUCCAUGAAGUCGAAACUGGUCCUCAAUAUCUAUGUAAUUUCAUGAUGAUUCAAGAUUUUUACCCUCUUAAUAUCCAUCUAACAUUAUUUGAUUUCUAGGAUUCAAGUUUAAACAAACAAUUUUUUUAAUAAAUACCCAAUCUAAUAUAUAACUAGUAAAAUUAUCGCAAUUGAUGAUGAGAUUAACUAUUUUCAUCAAUAAAUUAUUGGUUUAAUUUGCGAUUUAGCCUCAAAAGUCUCACGUUUGUAUUUAAACUUUUUGUUGUCUCAAUUUGAUACUUAAAGUAUGUUUUUGUUAUAUUUUUUAGCUAAUUUUCUGCCAGACAUUAAAAAAAAUUUACUGUCAAUCACAAAGCGUCACUUACUAUCUUUAUGUAAAAAAAUAAAUAUUUUCUUUUAAAUAAAUGUAUAUACACAUUAAAAAUAUAAAAAUAGAAAUAAAUAUAUAAAAUGUUCAAAUAUAUAUAAAUAAAAUCUAGAAAAUAUAUAUAAUUUAUUAAAUAAAAUUUGCAAAAAAAAACACUAUAAUUGAUAAGAUAUUAGCUGAAAUUAAAAAUAUUAUUUCAGAAAAUGUAAAAAAAAUUGUUAAAAUUUUAAAAAUAAUUUAAAAAUAUUUUUUUAUAAAAUUCUAAAAUUGUAUUUAGAUUUCAAUUUUUUUGCAAUUACUUGAAAUUUAAAUGCAUUUUUAAUUUUUAUAUAUUAUUUUGACUUCUUAAAAUUUAUAAUUAUAUAUUUUAUAAUUUUAUAAUAAAAAUAUUUAUUUUUAAACUUUUAAAAAAUUUAUUUUAUAUAUUAUAUAUGAUUUCUUUUUAUAUUUUUAAUCAAUACAAUAUAUAAUACUAAAAAUAAAAAGGUAAUGCUCAGUCAACGACCGGUCAAAAGCUGGUCAAAGUCAAAAGUAUUUUCUAAUAUUUAGGUAUCAAAUUGGGACAAAAAAAUUUAAGUACCAAAGUGAAAAAAUAGGUAUACUUCAAAAGCUAAAUCGUGAAUUAGAGUUAAAUUAUAAAGUAAGAAGCAAUUUAGUUUCUAUCAAAAUAAACAAGGCAAUUGAAACUAAGUAAAUAAAGGCAAUUGAUGUGACCAUUACUAAAUGUUAAUGUGAUUAUAUAUUAAGGUUGUUUAAAUAGAAUCGGAGUGGCCCAUCGAACUGAUUGAACCAAAAAUCGACUAGAGUAUUUGUUUAAAGAAGGGUAUUGAACUAGUUGACUUAGGAACUAGUAUGGUCCGGUCAAAAAACCAUUUGCAUCAGGCAAUUGAAUUGGAUUUUUAAUUUUUUUUAUAAAUUUUUUAAUGAUUUAUUUAAUUGAGUUGAUCUGGUUUUGAAAAUUUUAAUAUAUAUAUAUAUAUAUAUAUAUAUAUAUAUAUAUAUAUAUAUAAAAGUAACUACUUGUAGGAAGAACAAAUGGUUGAAUUAUUUUAAAAAAAUAGCUAAAGUAAAGAAACCUUAUAAAAUAUUCUACAAAUUCAAAAAAUUCAUAAAACAAUUUUUGAAAUUUCAAAAGUUUUGGAAAAUGAAAAAUCUAAAGAAGUUCUUUAAAAUCAUUAUAAAAAAGGGACAAAUUUAAAAACUAUAAAUUUAAAAAUUAUGUGUGAACUUUAAUUUAAUGUACAAUAUAUAACACGAACCUGAUGGUUUGACUAAUUUGACCAUUUGAUUUGGUUUUGAAAAAUUUUGAUAUAUAUAUAUAUAUAUAUAUAUAUAUAUAUAUAUAUAUAUAGCUACGUGAAAAAAAAACAAAAUUGGUGGAUUUAUUGAAUUAUUUAAAAAAUAACUGAAGUAAAGAAACCUUAUAAAAUGUUCUACAAAUUCAAAAAAUUCAUAAAACAAAUUUGAAAUUUCAAAGGUUUAUAAAGAAGUUUCAAAGUUUUGGAAAAAAAAUCUAAAGUUCUUUAAAUCAUUAUAAAAAGGGAUAAAUUUAAAAAUUAUACGUGAACUUUAGUUUAAUUUGUAAUGUGAUACAUGAAUUUGAUUUAUGCAAUUUUAGUUUGAUUCAAUUCUCUUAUAUUACUGGCGCAAUUAUUUUCAUGUUUAAUACUCACGAAAGCAAAAACAUGUUAUUUUAGGUCAUGGAUUUAAAAGUUACUAUUUAAGUUAAGACUAAAAUUUUAAAAUCCAAAAAGUAUAGGGGCAAUAAAUGAUCAAAUUGGGGAACAUGGACUAAAGUCACAACUUGUGGAUUAUACGAGACAAAUAGCAUAAUUUGACCUAACAUAUUUAAUUACUACCAUUUUAAUCAUGUUUGAAAUUUCAAAAUUCAAAACGCGUAAGAAAUAAAAUUGACCAAAUUAGAGCACACGAACUAAAUCUACAACUUAUUUAUAUAAACUAAUAGAAGAAUUUCACCAAUUUCAAAUUGAUAUUUGGGUAUUUGUUAUACCAACCUAUUUGGGUUUGAAUAGUGUUAAUAUCUAAAUUUAUUUUAAAAAAUAUGAAAAUGAUAAUUGAGAGUCUAAGAGAGUUCUCACUCCCUAGCUCAUCAAUGAAGAUCAUAUCACUUGAGGAAAUACAUUUGGAAGAUUGGACCAAAUCACUUGAAUUUUGAAUUGAAUUGGAACGUUAUAUUCUUAGAUGUCAAGAGUCCAUAUUUACCUUGUACAUUAUUAUCAUAUGGCUUAAAUAUAAGUUUGGCGUAUGAACUUGUGCACUUCUCUCAGAUUGACGCUGACAAUUUUUAUGUCUUAGGUUGGUAUCUAAUCUUCAACUAAUUUGAUACUUUUUUUAACAAUAUUAAAUUUGGGACAAAUGGCAAUAUUAGACAAAUACACGUGUCAUUAGUACCAUCAAAAUGAUGUUUGAAUAUAAAAAUUAAAUAAAAAUUAUUGAAAAAUUUAAAAGUAUAUAUAUAAAUAAUAAUGAAUACAUAAAUAAAAAAACAUUACAAAAUAAAAACAUAUAAAAAGUUGCUUCAUCUCAUCUUGGUUUGUUCAUCUUCAUCUCUUAAUAUUCUUCAUUUUCAAAACUUCAUUUCUUUCUUCAAAAACCCAUAACUUAAUCUUCAAUUUUGCUUCGUCACCAUUAUCACUCCAAACAACUCAGAACCAAAAUAAAAAGACAUUUCAGAUUCGGACUCAGAACUCAAAACUUUGCAAAUUGGAACCCAAACCCAAAAAAGUCAAAAUAAUCUAGAACCCCAAUAUCAACUUUUUUUGGUAAAAUACUCGGUCAAAUCUACAAAAUCCACACAUAAAUGUUUAUACAAAAUUCCACGGAACCAUCAAGACAAUCGCAAAAAUCAAAUUUGAGAAUUAAAAUUCGACUUUGAUAUACCUCAGUAUAUGGGAUGCCCAGAAAAUUGUAAGCACAAGACCAAGAGAGUAUAUUGUUUCUGUGAUAUGCAUCCUUUGGCCCUUCAGCCCACUCCCAGUCCCACAAGCAGAUUCCCUAGCCUGUGGCGGAGAUCGAAGUUUUGAAAACCCAAGGAUCAAUCUUUGAUUUUUUCGGCUUUGAAGAGAUUUCCUUGGAAAUACAAGGCAGGAUUUGAGACGAGGUUGAAGAGAGAAAUAUUUUGGUGGUAGGAUCGGCCGGAGAAGGCCAUGGAUGGCAGUGGUUAAGGUAUGAAGAAAGAAGAGAAGGGAGAAGAUGAAAGAGGAAAAGAAAAAAAUAAUAAGGAAAAAAAAAGUUAAUGAAGUGAGAAAAAAAAAAGGUUUUUUUGUUAUUUUGAUUUAAUUUUUUGGUAACUUUGUUAGUUUAUAACUUUUUUUUUUUAAAUUUUAUUUAGUUUUUAAUAUUUAUUGAUUUUUUUAUAAUUUUUA